CUAUUUGUUUGUUUGUUUGUUUGUUUGUUUGUCCGUAAGUGAUUUUUAAUUUUACAGAGAUUUUCAGUUAAAUUAGACUUCAGGUGAAAAUAUUUUAAAAAUCAAACAAAAUAAAUCCUUUAUUUCUUUCCCCCUUUAGAUUGACGUAAAUAGAUUCAGAUUGAUGGAGCUUCCGUUCUAAUACGUCUCAAAUGAGAUGAUAAGUGAGGACGACAAAUAUUUAAAAAAUAAUAAUUCGUUUCAAAAUUGUAAAAAAGUAAAACAUGAGGCUGGAGACUCAUUUUCUUUGACCCACCGCCACCAUUUAUUAUUAAAAUAUUUGUCAAAAAUUCGCUUUCCUAUAUUGAAUGCGGAACGAUAAGUGGGAAUGAAAAAUGUGACACAAAUAAAUCCGUUUCGAAUCCAUCCUGACUCGCCACGAAAACGGGGUGGCAGGUGAGAAACCCCUCCUGCCGUCGGAUCCACCUUGAUUACAUAUUCAAACUCCUCUCUUUCUUUGAUCCGUCACCACCAUUUGUUAAAAUAUUUUUCAAAAUUUUACCUUUCCAUUGAAACAAAAAAUAAUAAAUAAUGAUAAAAAUCAAUUCGUUUCGAAUCUAUUUCGACCCGCAGCAGGUAAUGGAGUGGGAAAUGAAGAAACCCCUUCCGCCCGCAGAUCCAUCUUGAUUGCAUAUCAAAACUCUUUCUUUUUUUUUUUUUUUACCGACUGUCCCUAGAGCAAGUGGCAAAGGGCUUGGUUGUUGGUAUUCGAGACCCAAGUUCAAAUCCUAAUUGAUUCAUAUUUUCAGCUAAGUUUAUUUAUAAAUAAAAUAAACGAAGCGGUAGCGUGCUAUCUAUCUCAAAAAAAAAAAAAAAAAAAAAAAAAAAACUCUUCUCUUUUUUUGAUUCGCCCCGCCUGAUUGUUAAAGUAUUUUUCAAAAAUUUGUCUCCCGAAUAGAAAAAGUAAAAUGCAAAAAAUAAAAAAUCAAAAUCGUGCCGAAUCCAUUCGGAUCCCUUGCGUAAACGGGUCCGUUGCUGCAGAUCCGCCCCGUUUGCAUCUCUCCUCCUCCACGUCUUCGCACUCCUGCACCUUCGCGAGCUUCUCGUUCUCUUCACCACCUGGGUUCAGCAUCAAAUUCAAUUGAAUUAAAAGAAAAUGGAGCCGGACGUGAGCAUGGAGACGAUGUCGACGAUCCGGAUCGCGGUGGUGGCGGUGGGGGGGGCGAUCCCGGCGGGGCGGCUGCGGGAGUACGCGGCGGCGGUGGGGCGGCACGCGCGGGUGGAGCUGUCGGCGCUGGCGUCGUUCUACUCGGAGCAGCAGAAGAGCCCCUUCGCGCACCAGCCCUGGGACUCCGGCGCCCUCCGCCUGCGCUUCGUCCUCGGCGGCUCCCCUCCCUCCCCCUGGGAGGACUUCCAGUCCCACCGCAAGAUCCUCGCCGUCCUCGCCCUCUGCCACUGCCCCGCCUCCCCCGACCUCGACAUCGUCGCCCACCACUUCGCCGCCGCCUGCAGGCCCUACCCCCACGCCCUCGCCCGCCGCUGCUUCGCCUUCUUCCCCUCCGACGCCCAGGUCCCAUCCCAUCCCACCCCCAUUCCGUUGAAUUUAGGGUUUGAUUUUAGCUUGAUCUGAUCUGAUCUGAUCUGAUUGAAUUUAGGAUCGAUUUAGUGAAUUUUCGAUUUUUUUGUCAAGAAUUUUGAUGGGGUAAAUUCAAGUUUAGAGUUUGAUUUAGCACCCUUCUGGUUUUGAUUCCGCUUGAUCUGAUCUGAUCGAAUUUAGGUUUUGAUUUUAAUUUGUUUGUGUAGAAAAAAAAAUCAAAAUUAGAUUUAGGAAUGACAUUUUGUUGUUGUUGUUGUUGUUGUUGUUGUUGUUGUUGUUGUUGUAUGCUGUUAGGUGCCUCUGAUUGGAUUUAGGGCUGGAAGCUAGCUUUUUUUCUUUUUUUCUUUUUGACUCAACUUGACCUGAUCUGAUUGAAUUUAGGUUUUGAUUUUUAGUGCCUUUUCUAUUUUUGAAAGAAAAGAUUGAUUGGGUCAUGUAGUUCAGAAUUUAGAUCCCGCUAUGCACUCUACUUUCUAGCAACAGCUGCGGAGCAAAUCUGUUGAAGGAAUUUUAACUGUGAUCUGAUCGUAUCUAGUGUCAAUUUAGUGCUUUUAGAAUUUUGAUCUAGGUAUGCACCAUUUGUUGUUUUAUCUUGUUAUGUGCCUAUUUUUGGUUCUGCUUCUGCUUCUACGUUUUGCAACAGAUACCUUCGAGUAAAGUGAUUGUUGGUAAACAGAAAACUUUGGUGCUUCUAUAACAGCAGCGACUAGGAAUGAGAUUUUUCGGCACAAAAUCAGAAGAAAUGAGAUUCUGAAGCGCAGAAUCGGAAGCUAGACCUAGUGUUGGCUUCUGGCUUCUCGAUCUGAUCGAAUUGGUGGGAUUGGGUAGUUAGAUUUAGAGUUCAGAUCCAGGCGUCCGAUUUUUUUGUUUUAUGUUGUUGAUUGUUGUUAUGUGCCUCUUCGGUUCUGCUUCUACUUCUACUUUUAGCAAUAGUUACUUCCGGGUAGAGCAUUAGCUAAACAUAAAAGUUCAUUGCUUCAAUUACAGUGGUAAUAAAAAAAGUGAUGUUGUGAUUGAGAUUAGUGUUAAUUUAGUGCUUUUCUUUUUUUUGGAAGAAUUGACGGAGUUGGUUAGUUUUAGAAUUUAAAACCACCUAUAUGCACUUAAUCGGUGCAUCUUUCUUGGAAGUUAGAAUUUAGAUCCAGCUAUGCACUCAGUCUUGACCAAAGCAUCUGUUUUGGUGGAAUGGGGUUGGUUUUGACUUCAACUUGGAAUCUUAGUUAUGACAUGCAUCGCUUGUCUCAGAAAGCAAGCUCAUAGUAUAACUUGGAAACAGAUACUGUAAUGCUUUUAUUGUCAGUUUGUUGCUUAUUGUGCUGUCGUUGCUGUUAGUUUAUCUAUCGCAAGAAUUAUCUGUUCUUGUUUGAUCUUCAAAACUCUCUUAGUGCUUCUUCACUGCAAAAUUUGUCUAUUUCAACUCAUUAUUUUUGUCUGUUUCAUGAUUUCUGUGACAGUUAAGGGAGGAGAAAAGAGAUGAUAUUGUAUUAUUUCCUCCUUCGGAUGUGCAAAAGAUGGAAUUUCACAUGCUCACGAUGGUGCAAGAUCUCGCUGCUUCAUUGUUGAUGGAGUUUGAAAAAUGCGUUCUUCGUACAGAAUCUGCAGGGACGAUUUUAAAGACACCUUUGGACUCGCAAUCCAGCCUUGGUUCAGAGGAGGUUUAUUCUUAGGUGUUCUAAGAAAUUAUGCAAUUGCACUUGUGGCUUCUAGAAGCUUUUGAAGUUACACACGACUUCUCUUCUCUUCUAAAUAUUCUUCAUCUUACGAAACUGUAGGUCAUUAAGGCAAAAAAACGAAGGCUUGGUCGCGCACAAAAAACAAUUGGGGACUACUGUUUGUUGGCUGGGUCACCUGUUGAUGCUAACGCACAUUAUUCCACGGCAAUAGAGCUUGCGAGAUUGACAGGAGAUGUAUUCUGGCAUGCAGGGGCAUUGGAGGGUAGCGUUUGCGCGUUGCUAGUAAGCAUACUCUUUAAUAUAACUGCAUGAGGUUAUAGAUGGUUGUACAUUGAAAAUAAAACUUUCGAGUAAAAGAAUUGCAACUGAUGACUGAUGCAAGUGGACUUUCUGUUUUAUUUUCUUUCCCCUCCUCCUCUUAUUGACUUUCUGCUGAGGUUUUCUUUACAUGUUAGGUGUUGAGAUCUCCAUACUGCUUGUUGAGCUUAGUUUAACAAAAAUGAAAUGACCUUAAGGUCUUAUAUAUGUGUAGGUAGACCGCACAGGUGGAAGAGACCCUAUUCUAGAGGAGGAGGUGAAAUAUCGUUAUUACACUGUCAUCCAGCUAUAUAGAAGAGCUUUCAUACAGGAUAAUGCUCAAAGGUGCUGCUGUCUAGUUUGCUGUUUCUCCAGCUCAAGACGAGAACUUUCUACCAUAUGUUGUAGCUUUUUGCAAAAUUUCAUCUGAUUUCUUCUAUAUUUCUUUCUGGAACUAAAUGUCGUUUUACUAAUCUGAUCUGAUGCGAUCUUUUGACCUUUACAGGGUUUCAACUGUGAGCUUUGAACUCGAGGCUGCAUUGAAGUUGGCUAGAUACCUUUGCCGGUAAGUUAACUUACAUCUAUAUUAAGCUUUUGCAAUUACCAAUUUAAUUUUUCAUCAGAAUUUCAGACUUUGUGUAAAUUUUCUCCAAAGCUGACUUUUGAAUUCCUGUGAGAAUUCGGUUCUGCAAAUAUAAGUUCUUCUUAAAAAUAUUAAUUGAACUUGAACAUAUUAAGUCUCGGUCAUCAUCAUAUCCAGGAGAAGUUUUAGGCUUUUGUUUAUCAUUCCUAGUAAGUCUUCUAAGUUUAACCUUAGGCAAUAUGGACUAUGAAUUAUUGUGUGGAAAUAGCUUAAGCAUUUGGUGGUCGUUUGAGUGAUACUUCAGUAAUCUUUUAUCUCCUUCAUUCUUUAUAGUAUAAAUUUGGAUCCAACUUUGCAAUCCACAUAUUAUGAUUGUUUUUACUGGUUGAAGCAGAUUUAUAUCAUCAUUUUCUCGAAUAUGUUUGAUCUUCAAAGUGACCUAAAGACUUAGAUGGUAUAGAAAUUUAAGCAGUUCUGCCUUAUGUUGUCAGAACUGAACUUGCUAAGGAGGUUGUUGAACUGCUGAUGGGGGCUGCAGAUGGUGCGAAGUCUCUUGUUGAUGCCAACGAUCGUUUGAUAUUAUAUGUUGAAAUAGCAAGACUGUUUGGAACACUAGGUUAUCAACGUAAAGCAGCCUUUUUCUCGCGCCAAGUUGCCCAGCUGUACUUGCAGCAGGAUAGUGCCAGCGCUGCUAUCAGCGCCAUGCAAGUUUUGACCAUGACCACAAAUGCUUAUCAUGUUCAAAGUAGGAGGACGAACCCGAAACUACAUGCUCCAGCCCAAGUAAGCUGUUUUUUUUUUUUCCUUUUCCUUUUUUCUUCUUUUGGACAACCCUUAUGGGUUUGAAGCAGGUUGCCUACUAGCUCUUUAAUGCAUUUUACUAUUUAGUCGCUAGGUUCUAGGGUAUAUAUGCUCGUUAGACUUUGACAGGAAUAUACUGACCUUGAACACUUUAUUCGCAAAUCCUCACAAUACUUAGUUUUGUACAUAAUACUAUCAGAAACUUUGAUGAAGGUUUAAGAAGACAAUUGAGGUUGUGCACUGCGAAUCUUGAUUAUCAUUUCAUCUAAAAGCCAGGCUUCUGUUAAUUAUCUCAUUCAAUCUGUACAUAAGACUGUUGGAAGAAUAGCCAAAAACAAGGAAGAGUUACGAAAUAAGGCUGCUCUAUAUACGCUGAGUUUUAAAAUAAAAAACUUUACAAUAAAACAUAUACUCUGCAUGAACUUUAUUCUCGUCAGUGUAUGUGCUUGAAUUUUUUGAACAGCUGACUGAUAAAAUAUUGUAUGCUUUAACAAUUUCUUUCUUCAUAUUAUUUCUCCUUUGUUGUAGAUUAGAUAACCGUCAUGUAGUUGAUUUGUUCCUAUGCUUCUUAAAGGAACUCGGUACAAGUCAUGGUGAUGGGAAGAAAAUGCAGCCUCAAUCGGUUGUCUCCUUAUUUGAAUCGCAAUGGAGUUCCCUGCAAAUGGUUUUGUUGAGAGAAAUUCUCGUGUCCUCUGUCCGUGCUGGAGAUCCUCUUUCAGCUUGGAGUGCGGCAGCUCGUCUACUCAGAUCAUUUUACCCACUUAUCACACCAGCGGGUCAGAGUGGUCUGGCGAGCUCGCUUGCCAAUUCUGCAGAUAGGCUUCCUGUGGGCACGCGCUGUGCUGAUCCUGCCCUUCCUUUUAUCAGGCAUCUUUCCUAAUCUUUCUAACGACAAAACUAUGGUCCUUGUUUGUGUGUUGUUUACGAUGCCAAUACAUUCUUCAUUUAGCAUUAUCACAACAUAUAUUAUGCAUGCCAAAUGCCUCCUGUUGUCGUACUCUUUCAAUGCCCUUAAUUGAUAUCAUCUAUUCCUGAAACUAUGAAUUGUUUCUACACUUUCAAUCUAUUAUACCUUGUCUAUCCUAACACCUGCAAUAAGUUGUACUACACCCAGUGAAAUUUCCUCGUUGGCGUAACUUAAUACUCGUCAGAGGAUCCUGCCCUUCACAAUCCCAUUGUUAUUUCUAUUAAAUAGGAUACAUUAGUACUGAUCUGAUGAGUGCCUUAUUCAAUAAUUCGCUAGCCUGCAAUUGAUUGGUCGUGUCCACAUGUUAAACUCUUUGACAGAUCUUGCUGAUAGAGUAUAUACUGCAGCCAUUCUUUUGACAAUGUUGAAAAUUUUAAAUACACUAAAUACUAGUCGUGUUCUAUCAGGUUGCAUUCGUUUCCUCUCCACCCAUCACAAAUGGAUAUAAUAAAGCGUAAUCCACUGAAAAAGGAAUGGUGGACUGGGUCAGCUCCUUCUGGGCCGUUCAUCUAUACACCAUUCAGCAAGGGAGGUACAACAGAUAACAGUAAAGAAGAGAUAACUUGGGUUGUGGGCGAACCAGUUCAGGUCUUGGUUGAAUUGGCUAAUCCGUGUAGCUUCGACCUGGUUGUCGAAAGUAUUUACCUAUCUGUUCACUCUGGAAACUUUGAUGCCUUCCCCGUGAGUGUAAAUCUUCCACCUAAUACAGCCAAGGUGAUUUUACUGUCUGGAAUUCCAACAAAAGUUGGACCGAUUUCCAUUCCGGGGUGCAUUGUUCAUUGCUUCGGUGUCAUCACUGAACACCUAUUUAGGGACGUCGAUAACUUGCUCCUUGGGGCCGCACAAGGUCUCGUCCUUUCUGAUCCAUUCAGAUGCUGUGGCUCUGGCAAGUUAAAGAAUGUGUCUUUUCCCAAUAUCUCCGUAGUUCCUCCUCUACCUUUGCUGGUCUCCCAUGUGGUUGGUGGGAACAGUUCGACCAUUCUUUAUGAAGGUGAAAUUCGUGAUAUUAGGAUCUGCCUGACGAACGCGGGUACCGUACCAGUUGAACAAGCACAUAUCACGCUAUCCGGGAAAAAUCAAGAUUCGGUUAUUUCAAUGGCACACGACAAGUUGACGUCGGCUCUGCCUCUCAAACCAGGUGGGGAGGUGACUUUCACUGUGACUUUGAAGGCAUGGCAGCUUAGUUUGGCGGAUUCUGAGGUCGAUGCUAGCAGGAAUUCUUCUAGUAGUGCACGAAGAAUAUCGAAGGAAGGAAGCAGCCCACUCCUGGCUAUUUAUUAUGCUGGUAAGAACAUUACCUGGUACUACUACUAUAACUUUUUUUUUCCCCUUAAACUCCGCUGUUCUUUAGUUUCUGUUUGAACACUUGAACAUUUUGCAAUCUAUGAUGCUUAGAUUUUUGUCCAUCAAAUUUGAUAAUUUGUACAAGGUUGACGCUUUGUAUUUUAUCAUCCUAGGUCCAUCUACAAACUCCGAUGAAUCUGAAAACAAGGAAGCUUCUGUGCCACCAGGAAGGCGCUUGGUUCUUCCACUGAAUGUCUGCGUUCUACAGGGCUUGCGUUUUGUAAAGGCUCGUUUGCUCUCAAUGGAAAUUCCUGCUCAUGUUUCUGAUUCCUUUCCUAAACCUACCAAUAUUAAUCAGAGUUCAACUGAAGAAGACGACGAUGUGCAAGAUAAAGAUGGUAGCUUAGUAAAGAUCGACCCAUACAAAGGAUGCUGGGGAAUCCGCCUUCUUGAGCUCGAGCUGUCUAAUCCAACUGAUGUGGUUUUCGAGGUUAAUGUGUCAGUUCAGCUGGAUAAUCCAACCGACGAGCAUACACCAGUACGUGACUAUGAAAGUGCUGAUAUCAGGUACAGGAAGACGAGAAUUGAUCGUGAAUACUCUGCACGAGUUCUGAUACCAUUGGAAAACUUCAAACUUCCUGUUCUUGAUGGUUCCGUCUUCCUAAAGGACUCCCAAACUGAUGAAUCUGCCGGAAAUAAAGCAUUUAGUGUAACUGAAAGGAAUGCCAAGGCUGAGUUGAAUGCUUCGAUCAACAACUUAAUCUCGAAAAUUAAAGUGCAGUGGCAGUCCGGAAGAAACAGCUCGGGGGAAUUGAAUAUCAAAGAGGCCACUCAGGCGGCGCUGCAAGCGUCAGUGAUGGACAUAUUAUUGCCUGAUCCUCUAACCUUUGGCUUCAGGAUCGCAAACACCUCGGUUGAAAUUGGCGAGUUGGGCGAUCAGAGCUCUAAGAACCCUAUCGCGGCUCACGAAAUGACUCAGAUGGAAGUUCUGAUCCGGAACAAUACGAAAGAAACGAUUGAAAUGAGCCUUAAUGUUACAUGCAAAGAUGUCGCUGGCGAGAAUUGCUUCGAGGGAAAUAGCGCUACCGUCCUUUGGGCUGGUAUGAUCCCUGUUCUUUUUGCUGACUUUCGUUGCGCUUAUUGCAUGCGAAUCGCGUAAUUUAUGUGUUCUUACAAUUCCUUUUUUCUCCUGUAGGUGUACUCGGUGACAUCAAUCUGAAGGUUCCACCGCUCGAGGAAGUGGCGCAUUCCUUCUCGCUCUACUUUCUAGUCCCAGGAGAUUAUACGCUCCAAGCAGCUGCCGGCAUAACCAAUGCAACGGAUGUCCUCCGCGCUCGGGCGAGGGCGGACUCGGCGGAGGAGCCAAUCUUCUGCCGUGGCUCCCCCUUCCACGUCCGCGUUACCGGAACGGCUUAGGAUUCCUCCAGUUUCAGCAUGUUUGAGUUACAGACAAAUGUUAUUCCAAGUAUAUUCCUGCAGCUGUAGUUGUAAAUUUGUUCUGUAUUCUUUCCAUCGACGAGAUUGAGCUACUCAACAGAUUGCAUCUGCUACGCGGCCGCUUCUUUUUUUUUUUUGGUAAUUUGUUCACCCGAAUAAAGAUCAUGGUUACCAUUAUCCAUUGCGUAUGUUUCUUAGAUUUCGUUUGGGAUUGUGGAGAGAUUGUGUUACAUACGGUGAGAAUACGAUAGAAAAAUAUUCUGUUUGUCGAAGUAUAUUCUUAUAUACUUUUAUCCUAUUUUUAUUUUAUCUAAUUACAUCUUUAGGAUCUUAAUACCAAAUUAAGCUUUACACCAAAUUAAGCUUUACUCGAGACGUGUAGCAUCAAACUGACUAUCUUAUGCCUAUGCUAAGAUAGAUUGGUUGCAACUGUAUUUUAACUUUAUUACUUAACUUUAUUACUUAAUCAAUUACAUAUUAUUAAAAAAUUAAUUUGCUUUAAUUAUUUCUUGAACACAAACUUUUACAACUUAUAAUGUAUGACCGAAGCAUUAAAUCCCAAAUCUUUAAACCAUAUUCUCUGCUCGGAUGUCGAGAAUACCAUAAUAACCAAUAAAAAGAUACCUAAAACUACAAAAAUAUAUCACUAGUUCACAAAUAUUAAAGAAGCGUAAGAGAUGGCAUCCAUGUUUCACAGAGAAAUCCGGAUUCAAAUUACUAACCCAGCUAUUAUCGAAGGUAUGAGAUUUCAACAAUACAAUUACAUACAUAAACAAGCUUUUAUGAAUCUACCAUAGCAAGAUAAAACAGAAUAAACUUCCCAGUCCAAGAAAAAUGGCAUUUUUUUUUUUGUUUAAUCUCCACUUCCAAAUAACAACUAGACCAGGUAAUCAUUUGGACACAAUAGAAUGAAACAAAAAAAAAAAAAAGCACACAUAUAAACUAGCUUAUAGCAUACAGAAUAAGCUUUCCAAAAUUUAUCUAAAAAAAGAAACAUGGAAUUAUUACUAUAUAUAUUUACAACCGCAACUGUAAAUCCUCUGGAAACCUUUUGAUGGUAGUAGUAGUAAGAGUCAUGGAACAUACUGAUAGAACAUAUUGAUGAUAGAAGCGAGAAGUACAAACAUCUCUCAAUCAUUUUUGUGCUUGAGCUUGUCCCUUUUGGGAAAGGGAAGCCCCCAUAGAACGCAACCUGUUGGCAAUCUCCGUGAAGCUCGGCCUCUCGGACGGUUCGGACAACCAGCACUGCUCCAUCAGCGACCUCCAGUCACGAUCACACGAAUCGGGUACCGGAGGCCGUAGAGUGUUGCUCACUAUUCCACCUAUUUUGGAAUGAAUUAACUUUUCAGUAUGAGGGCUGUAUAGAAACUCGAGAAGUUCACGGGUAUCGAAAAAUCCUAAUAAGAGAUUAGAUGAAGGAGAUCUUCAAAUGCCCUAAUCCCUUUGUAUUAGGUUUGAUUCCACUUCACCCCCUUAUGGUUGCUGUUAUGAUUGCCACCAACGACAUUAUGUUAAAAGUCAUCGCAAAUUGAGCAUGUGGCACUCAUAUCGCUGUUUAAAACUGUAGAAAUAAAGAUGUAAUUGGUUAAUCUUGUUAAUCCUCAUUUGCACGGAUUUAAUGAGUCACGUGGAUUAAACCGGAGGGUGGUCAAGCGUUAUCAUCUGAAUCACUGGGACCAGGAGUUACGAGUAAAAUCAAACUAUACCACAACUAUACCACAACGAGGGUAUCUGAAGUUUUUCCCAUAAAAGAACACUUAUGAUAGCUCCGCAGUGCAAAUCAGCAUAAGGAAAUACCUAUGAUAGCUCCAUAGUGCAAAUCAGCAUAAGGUUCAUCUCCAGUAAGCAGUUCCCACAUCACAAUUCCAAAGGAGUAAACAUCGACCUAAGAUUACAUGCAUAAAGAUAGGAUAAGAUAAGCCAAAUAAAAUAAUGAAAAUAAAAAAAGAAAUCUAUCUCAACUGAGAUUAUUUGAGCUAACCUUUUCAGAGACAAGACUACUACUGCCAUUUAGAAGCUCCGGAGCCAUCCAGGGCAGAGUUCCCCGCACUCCACCGGAUAUUAGGGUUUGGCGUUUAACUUUUGAAAGGCCCAGAUCACCAACCUGCAGAGGAGAAAGAAGCAGAUAAAGUAAAAAAAAAAAAAAGGCUACUUCACACGGAAAACUUAGUGACGUACUACUAUUACUACAACUAGUACUACUACGAUUUCAUAACUCGUGUUGAUAGCACAGAGCGCCGGAUGGAGCAGCUAAAGAAUACAAAAUGCUCAAACGUAAAUCCCUAUACUCUUGGUAAAUACGGUAAGAUAUUGCAAAAACAAGCACAAUACGCAAACAUCACACGGUAUACUUAAUUUGUAAGUAGUGUCUGGUGCUUUUAGGAAGGCAGGAAGGAAGAUGGCUCACAUAAUCAGUUUAGAAGCACAAGAUAGCAGAUAAGCCAGAAUAUUACGCGACAAACAUAAAUAAGUAGACAUUCAUGUAUAACAAAAGGUUUUUCCAAUCUUGCAUGACUAGGAAUUUCCAUAUUUUACGCUACCAACAGUAAAGCAGCAUUUUCCACUCCAUAUGCAGUAAAUCUUAGGACUGAAUAAUAGCAAGCUAUUUACCUAAUUUAAUCUGAAAACAAUGGCGGUGCAACUUAAUUUUUGACAGCAUCGUACCUAUAUAAACAAUCAACAAACCACACUGUUUUUAUCUUAAACACAUGCUCUCUUUCAUAACAUUUGCAUAGAAAUCUAUAAAUCUGAUGGUUGUUGAGAUAGUCUACUCUAGAACAUUCUCCUUCAUCUUUGAACUCUACCAUCUUAGAAAGAGAGGCUUGGCCAUCUCGACUGGACAAGCACUAAUAAUCCCAUAUACGAGCAGUGAAGCAGACCCACGUAUUAGCAUGCAUCGGUCUAUACUAAGCAAAGGACAUUAACCGACAUCAUUUGUAAUAUUAAUUUAGUGAAAGAGGAAGUAACUAAGUAUUUAUUGAUAUGUAGGAAUACUUGCUACUUUAUCAGAACCUUCCAGAUAAUAAAUGGAAGCAAGACAACAUGUAAUGGAAAUCAUACAAGAAUAAAAUUCACACUUAUUGCAAGCCGUAAGCACCAUGUAGUACGAGAAUAAGAGUUUCAAUAGAAAUCAUACAAGAAUAAAGUUCACGCUUAUUACAAGCCGUAAGCACGAAGUAGUAAGAGUAAAAGUACUGAAACUCGAUAGCCAUAAAUGCUCUUCAUUAAAGGCAAAAUCUAACUCACCCAAGGAGACUGGAGAGAUAGGAUUUUGACAGCUAAUUUAUCCAUAUAUAUUUUAAUUAAUCACAUAAAAGAGAAGCAUUUCGAUUUUCUGGUGAGUAGCAAGCUCCAUGGUGUCUAUGAAAGCACAUCAAUUUGAUGAGAGCUACAAACAUAACUUUAUCUCCACUAAUACCAAAAAUGGCAAACCAGCGCAAAAAACUACUGUUAAAGGAUCCAAGGAGGCUAAAAUAUAUGCAGCUGUUUCCCCUGAUUCUGAGAGACUUUCCACAACACACCCCCACACAGUACAACCUUAUAAUUUGCCAAGGCUCACCACAGGAAAAAAAAAAAAAAAAUCAAAAUAGUUAUAAAUAUUAUGAGAAUAGCUAGAAGCACUUUUCUUCCUGAAAAAGAUCCUUCAAGAAACCAUUUUCCAUAUAACCAGAGUAAAGUACCUUGCAAAUUGGACGUUGAGGAUCCCGUAAAUUGACAAGUAAAUUAUCGCUUUUCAAGUCAAAGUGCACAAUAUUCUUUCCAUGCAAGUAUUCCAUCCCAAAUGCUACAUCCAUUGCAAUAAGGAGGCGUUUACGACGAUCUAGUAUCCUGCAGACAAAAGUUAAAUCAACACUUAAAGGAUCAAAAUAGGUCAACAGGUUUAAAAGCGAUGAAAAUAAAGAUAUACUUGUCAUUUCUUUGCAAAGCCUGUCGAAGAGAACCAUUGACCAUGUACUCCGUCACUGUUGCAACAGCUCCCUCUGGGCCGUCAAGAACAACACCAUAAAAAGCUACUACAUUUGGAUGGUGCAAGUCUGCAAGUUUGGAAGCUUCGUUCCAAAAAUCAGCCCUCUGAAAUACAUAUGGGCACGAUCAGAAAAAGAAGAAGCACAAGGAAAAAUCUAAUGGCAUCAGCUACAGACCAUGCGCUCUUGCUCUGAUGCCUUCCCAGAAAAGCAUCUAUCAUUGAUUCUUUUUAUUGCGACAUCUGAUCCUCUCCAUUUCCCAUGAUAGACGGUGCCGAAAUUUCCAGAACCUAGCUCCCGCAAUACUUCAAGAUCACUAUUUUUUAUUAUCUACAAAGAUGAGAAGAAAAAGAAACUGUAAGCUCUCUACAUACAGGCUGACAAGUACAAAGUAGCAUUUGUUAAUAUAUGCCAGUUUACAACCUGAAGGCGGCCGAUGUCAUCCGAAAUAGGAAUGCCAGGGCUGGUCUUAUCUAAUUGAUUACCCUUAGUGUUCUGAAUCAAGAUAAAUAAUUAGUAUCAAUCAAGAACCGGUAUAUGAAAUAGUAGAGAAGAAUAGUAGGGUUUCGUCACCUCAGAUUUUGGAUCAACUAUGCCCCGUCCUGAAUCUAUAUUAUCCUCAACAAUUAUUGGAUUCUUGUCAGGAACAGCAGUGGCUUUAUUAGUUUCUCGAGGAUAGAAACUAGGAUCAGAAGGUACAGGCGACUGAAGUACUGACGCUGCUACACCUUCAGCGACAGCUUGCAGUUGUUGUCUGACGCGCUCUUCUCCCGAGCCUUUCAGAAAAGAAUAAAGAAAAAAGAGGAGGAGGUGCAGAUUAUUAAUCAUAACAAUCAAAAAGUAAAUCCUAUUACCAACCAAGAAAGAGGAAAACAAGAACGUAGACCAACCUUCUGUGACUUGAACAAGAUCUUUGGUGGAAUCCUUGUUAGGAAAGUCUGAAAUAUGUGGAACGUUGCCUUCUUCUAAGAGAGAAACUAUAUUUGAUCCAUUACAAGUACCCAAAUGGUUUUCUGCGUAUGAAUCCUUUGCCACAAUGGGCUCCUUAUUAGCCAAUAUACUGGGUUUUGGAGGUGGCAAGUGUGUACUCUCUAGAACUUUCCACGGGUCUUGGUUGGAGAAGAGAGAGUUCGAGGAAUUGGAUUCCUGGAAAGUACUUAUAGGCUCUGUAGGAAUAGUAGAACUCAUCCCUGGAAAUUGAGCAUUUCCACUAGAAGGGACAGCAAAGUUAUUAAACAACUCGCCUGGAUGCAACUUAGGAGCCUCAUCUUUCUGAUCCGGCAUGGCAACCAGAUUGGUACCGCUAUAUAGAGGAGCAUUAACACCAGCAUAUACAGGCCUAACAAGGAGCCUCUCUUUAGGAGCUGACGGGUCAAUGCCAACUCCAAGAUUGUUAGGGAACGGUCCCUGGUUUCCAAUCAAAAUUGUUUCUUGCUGCAUGCUGGGCUGAACACUUUGCAUGCCGGUGACUUCAAAGGUGACAGGCGGCCAUUGUUCGACAGGUUUAACAUAAUUUUCUGGAGAAAUGAAUGCCGAACUCACAUUAGGAUCACCAGUUAAUGUAGCAUGCCCUCCAACUUGAGGUCUCACUGUAUAACUAGUCUCUGAAACAAGAGGAGAACUGUCGACUUUUCCAUCAGAGGCAAAGCCAGAAGGAGCAAGCCUAUGAGAUUCAGAAUUUCCAGCAUGACCCAAAUGAAGAGCCUGUAUUCUUCCAUCAACAGCUUGAACAUAUCUAAUCGGGAAUUGAGCGACAUGAUCUUGUAUGGGAUCUGAUGGCUGGAAAUUCACAUUCUUUACUUGACUAGCAUCAACACCAGGCUGCUUAGAAAAGACUCCCUGCUUAACCCCGUAAUCGUAAUGCAAUUGAACAGGCUGCAAAGUCUGCCAGUGCUGUUGGUAAGAAUUCUCACCAUGAGACUCUAGAAUAUUGCUUAAAAAUGCUCCAUUGCUAGUCACAACCUGGUGAAUCAAAACCCUAGAAGGGUCGACAGUCUCUGAGCCCUGAACAGCCGGCCUCAUGCUGACAUGUGUUUCUGGGUUCUGAGAGAAUGCAUAAACCCCUAAUUGAGAUGCCGGUAUGGCACUCGCAAUUCUUGGUUCUCCCACCUUAGAACCCACAGCUCCACCCAAGUUGGGACCGCGUUUUGGAUCCUCUGAACGUUGACUGUAGAACACCGGGCUGGGUUCAGUGGUGCUGCUCGGAGAUGAACCCCCCUGUAUCAUUGUUUCCGAAUGGACAUGCGGCAGCGCCUUUUGACACAUAGCGCAAUCAUCAUACUUCAAUGUCGCAGAAUUUGCCGGGGGCGGCGGCACGCCCUGCUGCAUUCCAUAGUUCUCGGUAUUCUGCUGCUGAAGGUAUGCGGGAGGUAAAGGCGGGAACUGCGAAAGUGGCUGCAAAGCCUUAUGACUCUGAUCAGUAGAAGGCUGAACAGGCCUUCCCCCAUAUGGGUUUUCUGCAGCAUAUUCCACCCGAGCCUGGGCCGGCUUCAAAUUACCAACUUGAGAAGCCGGCAUAGCUGCAGUGAUCGGAACCCUGCCAGACAUGUAUGGAUUCAUCUGUACAGGGACUACAUGUACAGGUUGAGCCCCACCUCCAAUCCCCAUUUGCUGGGGAUUAACAUACUGAACUUGAUGAGGAUCUACAUAAGCUUGAUGAACAGGAAAACUAGGCUGAUCCUGCCAAACCAAACUAGGAUUUUGAACAGGAAAACUAGUUCCUAGGCCGGAAGCAUUACCGCCAAAGUACCCCCCGGAGCUAUCCACAAAUGCGACGGGAUUGGAUCCGCCGCCGCCGCCCCCCACAUACGCCAUCUUCAGCGCCUCAUCGGAGGCAGCAACAGUAGGAGAGCGAAGAGAGGGCGAGGACACACCUUCGAUGUUUCCGUCGGCGGCCUCGCCUGCGACUGCGCCGUCCGAAUUCUGCGUGGAGGACGCCGCACUCGCGACGCUCUCCUUCCUCCGCACAGCACCCCCAGCUGCAUCCGGCGCCGCGGCGACUCCGUUCACAGCUUCGAUGUACCGCUGGCUCGUCUCGUCGGCGCCGCCGAGGUGGGCGCCGGGAUCGGCGGCGGCGUCGGCGGGGGUGAAGAGGAAGACGCGGAGCUUCGCGGAUCCGUCGGGCGCCGCGGCGGCCACCUUGUCGUGCUCCUCAAUCAUGUUCUCCAGGUCCUCGGCGCACGACACCGAAACGAGCGCGUCGAGGUCCUCGCCGGGGAGCUGGUACUUCACGGCGACGGCCCCCGCGUCGUCGGGCUCCCCGUCCUCGUUCCCCCGCACCACCCCCGCCAUUUUCCUCAUGAAAUCGGCGAAGGAGACGUCCUUGGCGACGGAGAUGAGCCGCGUGUGGCCGCACACGUAGCGGAGCGCGCCGUCGCUCGGCCGCGGCAGGAUCCGGCCGCCGUAUCCGCACAGGAGCUUCACCUUCGCCGCCGCCCCCGCCCGUAGAGGUUCGUCGGCGGCGUCCCCUCCUCCUCCUCCUCCUUCCCCUCCCCCUCCACCGACGCCGCCCCAGGGAGGGGGAGGGAUCAAGGACUCGGCGGGGGAGGCGCCAGGGACGAAGACGCGGGAGAAGGGGCCGGUGGCGGGGGGAUCGGAGGGGGAGGAGACGGGGAGCGCCGUACGAUUGAGGAUGGAAGCGGCGCGGAGUUCCUUGGGGAGGGAGUUGGGAUCGAUCGCCAUUGGAGGAGGGGGGAUCGAGCUCGCGCUAGAGUUUUGGGGAGAAGGGUUCGGGAGAAACCCUAGAUGAGGAGAGAGGGAGAGAGAGAGAGAGAGAGAGAGAGAGAGAGAGGAGGCGAAGAAGACGAAGAGCGAAGUAAACAGAAUGAGCGAAGUACCUGGGAGUAGCAGGCGAGGACGUUGGGAAAUAAAUAAAUAAAUAAAUAAAAUUAUAAAUAAAUAAAACAUUAAAAUUUAAUAAAUAAAUGAAUAAUAAAUGGAUAAAAUGAGGAUUUUGUCGUUUUUACACAAAAAUGAUAAAUAUUUCGUUAUUUACUUCUUUACAAAGUUAAAAAUAUAUGGAGAGCCCCUUACCUAUGUGAACUUUCCACAUAGAGCACUCAAUUUUUGUUUUUCUUGUGAAUUUCUUUUUAUUUUUUUAAGAUUUUAGUAGUAUUAGGUGAAAAUUUGAGGAUUUUAUCAAAUUUAAUAACUUAAAUUAUUUUUGAUAAAUAAAAUUAGAAUGAUUAAUAGUUAUUUACCAAUAAAGUCACAAUUUUAAUUCAGCCAUAUAUAAAAAUUAAAUAAGAAGGUAAAAGGUAAAAGCCUAUAGCUGCGGGGGUUACAUACAUUUUUACCAUCCAAAAAUUAUAAGUUAGGAGAUUUUAAUAAAAAAGUAAAAGUUUGAGGACUGUUUUUAAAAUUUUUAUUGUUGAGGUGCUUCCUUACAUUUUCAUGAAAAAACAAAGAGAGAAACGUAUGUCGACUUUGGGAAAGGCGGUGGAGUCAAAGAGAAACUGAAAUUCAAAAAUGCUUUUCCUCUUUUUUAUUACUUAGUAUAUUUUUUUAAUUUUUUCUAUUUUUGUAAAGGGUAAAAAAAAAGAAUUUGUAAAAGACUUAGAAAAUAAUUUUAAAAUAGACUUAAUCCGUCUCGAAUUGGGCGGUAUAUAGUAACCAAAACUAUAAAAAAAAAUAAUAUGUUCUGAAUCCGUUCUCAUUCGCCUUUUUAUUAUUUUGAUUCUUCUCAAUCUGUUAAAAUUUCAUCAAAAAAAAAAUUUACUCUCAUUUUGAUCCACCGUAAAUGAAAUGAUAAGAGAGAACUCGCUAAGAAAAUAGGAUAGAAAGUGAUAACUAAGGACUAAUAAUAAUAAUAAAAAACUUCAAAUACCACUCCUGUGGUUUUACACUUUCUCACUUUAGUACCAUGUAGUAAAGUGCAUCAAUUUAAUGUCUCGUGGUUUUAUUUUUAUCUUUUCAUUAUUAAUAUCACUAAUUUUUUUCGUUAAAUCGGUGAUAAAGUUAAAACUAAAAUGUGCUAAAAUGAAUAUUCUAUAAAUUUAGGUAGAGUAUCUGAAGUUUUUUGUAUAUAAUUUAACGAAAUAUUAACGGAGAAGCUGACGAAAAGAUAAAAAUAAAACCAUACAACACUAACUUGAUACACUUUAAACCACAGAGUACUAAAGUGAAAAAGUGCGAAACUACAGAAAUGGUAUCUGAAAUUUACCCUUAAUUUUAUAAAAUAUAGAGAUUAUAAAUGAAGAACACAUUAGCAUCUUUGGAUGCCAAAAUGGAAUAAAAAUCUUUUUUUUUUUUGUUUAAGGAAAAAAAAAAGAAAAAAAAAAACAAGCAAAGUGAUUAUCACAAAGAUGUGGACUACACACUACAUCAAGCUUCUAGUGUAAGGAAUGUUCCCAUAAAUAGUAGUCACAAAAUGCCAAAAAUGUAUGGUGACCCGGUCAAAUAUAGGACAUUUUGAAAUUACCCCCUAAACUUUAAACUUUUUUUUUAAUUAAAUUUAGUCCCAAAAAAAGUAAAAAAUUCAUCAAACUUGUUUAUGGCUUUAUCAAAUUUAAUGGUUUUAAUUUUCUUGUAGCAUAUAAAAUAGAAAUUGUUAAUGAUUAGUAGCUAAUAGAAUAUAAAUUUUUAACCAAAUAUUCAACUAACAUUAUCAAAAUAAGUCAAUUAUAAAAAAAUUAGAAGUUCAGAAACUCUAAAUCAAAAAAAUGAUAAAGGCCAAUUGGUAUUGAAAUUCAUCUAAUAUUAAUUGGCAAAAUAGAGUUCGGAUGAAAAUAUAUAUAAUUUUUUUUUUUGUUUUUUUAUCAUAUCACAAAAAAUAUACCAUUUUAACUAACUCAUUAAGAUAUUAUUUAUGAAAUAAAAAAAAAAAAAUUUAUUAUACUUUCUUACUACAUAUAGGGGCCGUUUGGUUAAAUGUAAUUAUAAAUGCAGUGUAGCAAGAGAUGCAUGCAGUUGGAAAUACAACAGUUAUAACUAUAUGAAUCUUGUUUGAUUAGAUGUAGUAGAAAGCGCUUAGUAGAAAUAAUUUGUUUGGUUGCAUGCAGCUGAGAAAUAAUUUUUAAAAUUUUAUUUUAUAUAUAUGAUGGUGAGAUUACCUCCAAUGUAAAAAAGAAAAAUAAUUUUUGUUUAAAAAAUAUUGAGGAGGUAAGCAUACUUUUUAUUUAAAAUUACUCUCUCCAACUGCUGUAGUUGGAACUGCGGCUAAUUUAGGCGCAGUUCGAACUGCUGCAAUUGGGCCUCCUCCUGCAGUUCCUACUGCAGCAGUUGGAGUUAAAUACAUCAAAUUAAACACGAAAUUUGCAUUUACAUACAGUUACAACUGUAGUGCAGUUGCAACUACAUGCAACCAAACGGCCCCAUAAUGCAAUACUAGUGAAGUUACCAGCACAUUGCGGCGUACUGAUGCUAUAAGAGACAGAAGAUUUACAAAGUAAAAUAUUUUAAAAUUUUUUGACUUAUCAUAAAAAAUCAAUAAAUAUAAACAGAACAUAUAAAAUGGAUAUAGUAAAAUUUAUAAUUUCAGCAAAUAAAUUACAUGUAAUAAUAAUAAAAAAAGCAGCAAUAAAAUACUAUUCCAUAUGCACCUUAAUUGUGCUGCCGAUAUCAAGAAGGCGAAUCCUGCUCUCCACUUCUCAUUCACCGCCAUUGUCAGCGUCGAGCCCCUCUUUAGUCACGGCAACACAUAUUUUUUUUUUUUUUUUUGCCUCAUAAAAGAAGUGGUUCUACUAUUAUUGACUAAUUAAACAAGUGGCCCUAUUAUCCAUUUGAAAUGGAUAUGGUGAAAGGUAUAUUAAAUCCUUACAGGGAAUGGAGUGGGUGUUGGUGGAUGGCUAAGUCUCCUCUCUCUCUCUCUCUCUCUCUCUCUCUCUCUUGCAACAGCAGACUGCCGACAUCACUAGAUCUAUUUUUGCCAGAACUCCUUCCUUUCAAUGCCAUCAAUUGUGUGGGGCCAACCAAAAUAAGAAUACAGUCUGGAAUAUAAAAAAACUAAAACAUUAACUUCUAACAAAUUAAACUAUUUUAAGGAGCGAAUAUUAUUUAAUCUGAUAUCAGAGAAGAACGUGAGGAGUUCAAAUCUUAUCAAAUUCUUAUUUAAGUUGAUGUUUUAGGUCUAUCGAAAUAUCCGGAGUAGGGAUGUCACUGGGUCGGAUUCGGGGCGGAUUUUCAAAAACCCGAAUCCGAACCCGACUCCAAACCCGAAAUCCGAACUCGAACCCGAAAAUCCGAAUCCGAAACAAUUAUUUCUCUUUUCAAUAUUUCAAAAUAUAUUAUAUUAAAUUUAAAAUUUCAAAAUACAAAAUUUAAAUAUAAUAUCAAAUUUUCAUAUGCAUAUUAUAUAAUGUAAAAUAAAUUCGGGUUCGGAUCGGAUUCGGGUAUAGUCAAAAUUCAUAUCUGUAUUCAUAUCCAUCGGGUUUUUGUUUUUGAUAUUCAUAUUCGAAACCAUAUCCAUUUAGUAUCAGAUAAAUUCGCUCCGUUCGAAUUCAGGUUCGAAUAAAAUUUCAGGUACCCGUACCCAUUGACAUCCCUAAUCUGGAGUGAGGAGAAAAAGAAGAGUGCUGCUUAUUUAGCUCUUAACUAAGUUCUCCUUGAGAUAUAGUUCUUAAUUUUUUUUUUUUUUUUGGUGGAACUAUAAAAAUUAUAUCUUAAUAAAAAUUUGAUCAUUACAGCAUGGUAUUAUUUACAGAAACAAAUGAAACAUUACUAAUUGUUUUUUUUUUUUUUUCCUCAUUGACUUUAUAAACCAUUUAGCAAAUGGAAAAGUCUAAACCUGUUGUAGUUACAAGAAGUCGAAAUGCAGUUCCGAGAUUGAAAAAUGAGGAUUCUAAUCUAGUGUUUCUGUUUAUGACAUCGCAAAAAUAAGCUACUGAAGAUGCUUCUUCUAAAAGCAUUACUUAGAUAACAUCUUAUCAAAGAAUUAAUAUCAUAUAUUCGACAACAGAAUCAAACAGUUCGACAACGACACUAAUUACUUUUGAAUAUGGUGUUAUAAGUGGUCUAUUUCUAGCUCCAGGUAAAGAACCAGGAAAUUAAGAAAAGAUCUCAAGUUAAAUUACAAACAGUAGUGUUAUUUUCUAAAACCUUAAUAUUAAACUUUGUCAAAAAAUCAGGCCCAGUAUCCUUUUCUUUUAGUGAGACAAAAUAAGGCCAUAGACAUUCCCUUUUUAGGCCCAAUAAUAAAAGGACAUCUGUUGACUAUUUAUUAUUGACUAAGGUUUAGUUUGGUAUUAAGCCUCAUCUAACGCUAUUAGAUAAAAUGUAUAAAAUGGAGUUGGGGUAAAAGCAUAUAGGGAUAUACUUCUGCGUUCUCUGGUGGGACCGCGGAAAAUAUAUCGUAACCGACUCAUCGCAAUAUACGGAACACAAUAUUACGUACGGAAAGAAACAGGGUAUUUUUCCAACAUACUGUAUGUAAAGCAAUCUCCCCGCAAUCCCAAACGCUGUAAAGCAAUCUCCCCGCAAUUCCAAAUGAAGCCUAAAAUAAAUUUAACUUUCUGUCCCAUAACAAAUAGGCCCUUUCUGUCCCAUAACAAGAGAUCCAAGAGAUUAGUAAAUUGAAUAAGGUUGUGAUCCACAAUAAACCUAACGGCAAGAGACUUUUACAUUUCAAGUAUUGUUGUUGAAUUCUUAAGUGCCAUCAGCCCUUCCUAUAUAUGAUAUAUCGGAACAAACUUUUGGGACAAUUAAUUAGUGUUUACGAUCCACAACAUCAUUAUAAGAUAUGCAAAAUCAAAAUAAAGGAAAUAAUAAAUAUGUUAUCUCAAAUAUUUUCUAUAAUGUCUAGAUUUUCCAUAAUAUUGUUUUUAUAAAUAAAUAGGUAAGGGGGUGUUUGGUUCUCCGAAAAAUAAAAAAUAAAAAAUAAUUUUCUAACUAAAAAAAAAUAAUUCUCAUCUAUUCGCGUUCAGAAAAAAAAAUUUGAGAAAAAAAUUUUGUUAGAUUUUAUAGAAAAGUCUUCUUUUCGUUUUUGACUUUUUAAUCUGAAAUAUGAAAAUUAUUGAGAGGUUGUUUUCCAAAAAAAAAAAUUUCUGAAAAAACAUUUUUAAUGAUUUUUUGAGAAAUUAAAAACUCUCUCAUGUGUUGGUACAUAUGAUGUGAGAGAUUUUAAUUGAUCCAUAUAAGAUUAAAAAAAAAGAAUUACAUGAAACUAAUUAAAUAUAUGAUUGAAAUAGAAACAAAUAAUUGGAAUAUACAUUUACUACAUGUGACAUUCUGAAACUACACGUAUAUCUUAAUAUCUUUAUAUUUAUGUAGAGUAUUUAUACAAAUUUUCACUUCGCACCAAACAUGCAGAAUUAGUAUAACUUGUCUAAGUGAAAAUCUUCUACUCAGAAUGAUUUGAAGUUACUAAAUUCAGAAUUAUGAAUAAGCGGAAAACUUGGAGUUAUUGAUGAAACCAAAUAUAGAAUGUUAACUUAUGAUGAAACCAAAUAUAGAAUGUUAACUUAUCUUUAUAUCUUGAAUUCUAAACAAACAAACAAACAAACAAACAAACAACUAGGUGGAAGUUAUGUAGAGCGCACCACUAUUUGAUCGAAAGUGGAGUGAAGUAAAGUUAUUUUCUAUUGAAACACUUAAGAUCCGUUUAUUUUGGUGUAAGUAGAGGGAUGGAACUCAAGUUUCACCACUUUCGUUAUUUAUUUUGGUGUAAGUAAAAAAUAAGAAAAACUUCAAAAAUCCCCCUGUGGUUUCGCACUUUUUAUUUUAGUACCCUGUGGUUUAAAGUGUAUCAAGUUAGUACCUUGUGGUUUCCCACUUUAUCACUUUAGUACCCUGUGGUUUAAAGUGUAUGAAGUUAGUACUCUGUGGUUUUAUUUUCGUAUCAAGUUAGUACCCUGUGAUUUUAUUUUUAUAUCAAGUUAGUACCAUGUGGUUUUUAAACCACAUGGUACUAAAAGUGAUAUAGUACGAAACCACAGGAUACUAACUUGAUACACUUUAAACCAUAGGGUACUAAAGUGAAAAAGUGCAAAACCACAGGGUACUAACAUGAUACACUUUAAACCACAGAGUACUAAAGUGAAAAAGAGUGAAACCACAAGGGGGGUAUUUGAAGUUUUUUCUAAAAAAUAUAAUGUAACUCGUUAUGUUAGACCUUCACUUCACUUAUUCUCGACUUCCUUAAUCUUCACUUCACCUACUCUCGAAUUUCUUUUUUUAAAGUGUCGAACUUGACUUCCGCCACACUCAACAUUCUCUAAAAAAUUUAUUAAACAUUAAAUCUAAACUCUAAUUCUUUUAUAAUGGGUUAGAAUUAUCUUAUUUAUAAUAAAUUAUAAUUACCUUUAAAUAAUAAUAAAAAAAAUUAAUUAUAUAAUGGGUGAAACUUUAUAGCGAUAAGUUUACCGCUAUAUUUAGAAGAUAACAAAAUUCACUUACUUACAUCAAAACAAACAAUAAAAUUUAAAAAACUAAUUUCACCAACACCAGGUUAUAUCAAAACAAACAGAAGAAGUAAUUAAAUUUCACUUUCAGACUGUACGAGUUACGUCAAAACAAACAAUAAAAAAUAAUCACACUAUAUAUAUUUCAUAUAUUGUAAUAAAAGUUUUUCUUUAGUUUCACUUUCGUUUCAAACAAGCUAUAUAUUAUAUAUACCAUAAUAAUAAAAAAAAUUAUUACUAGCACAAUUGAUAAAAAUAUUAUUUAAUUUUUGAGAAAGAAGAUUGUGGCCAAUGAGAAUAAAAGAGAAUAAAAAAUUACGACCCUAUAUACAUAUGAUAUUUACAAAUACGUUAAAAGAGAAUGGGAAAAAAAAAAAAAAAAAAAAAAAAACCUUUUUAUGUGAUCCAACACUUCUAUAGCUCUUCGAUCGUGCAAUCCCCCUCUUAAAAUGAAUUGGAUUAAAACUAUGAUGAUGAAAUUAGUAAAAAAAAAAAAAUUAAAUGAAAUUAAAAUUACGAUGAGAUUCGUGCAAAUAGAAUAUAUAGUAAUAAUAUAGUCGUCGUCGUCGUCGUCGUCACACGAGCUCAAACGACGUACUAAACCCUAACCCCUACAUAAAUAAACCAUUGCGUACACACGCACGGGUGAAAGAUCACCUCGAAACCCUAGAUUUGGAUCCGCGCGAUCUCGCCGUUGGUGGCGGCGAGAGGGGGAAGCGGAAGGAGAAAUCGCGGCGGAGGAGCUCGUCGCGGUUGUCGUCGUCGUCGUCGUCGUCGUCGUCCUCGGCGUCGCCAUUGUCGCCCUCGUCGAAGUUGAGGGCGUAGCUGAGCGGGUCGUACCCGAACCCGAACCCGUCGCGGCAGCGGCGGCGGCGGCGGAUCCCGGCGACGAGGCUCCGGCACCGGCGCCACCCCUCCGCCGCCGCCGAGGACGGCGACGAUCGGGGCGCCGAGCGCGGGGCGGCGGCGCGGGGGAAGCAGGAGAGGAGCGAGGAUCGGAGCCGUUGCUUCAGGGUGGCCGACGAUGGAGGAGGAGGUGGAGGAGGAUGCGGCGGCGACGACGACGAAGAAGGGUCGGGUACGCGUCGGUGAUCACAAUAUCUCAUGUCGCUUAACUUCGUUGCUAAAAUUAGGGUUAGGGUUUCGUAUGAUGAACGUGGUGAGGAGGAAGAGGAAGACGAUAGGUUGAGCGUAACGGAAUAGAGAGUAUCGAAAUUUUGUGAUCAUAAAAUCCAUAUAAAUAAAUACUGUAAAAAAAAUAAAUAAAUAUAUUAAAAAAAAUAAUAUUAUUAUUUAUUUUAAAUAUUAGUUAAUAUUAGUAAUAGUGCGUAUACAAUACACUCAUUGUGUGUAAAAAAAAAAUAUAACAAAAUAAAUAAAUAUAUAUAUAUUAUUAUUUAAAGUAAAAAUGUGCUGUACUUAUCUGAACUAUCGAUCAUUUUAAGUUAGCUUCACAAUCUUUCUAAAUUUUGAUUUUAUUAUCCAAUAUUUUAAUUUAUUUCAUUUCAGUCCAUCAAUAAUGUUUUAAUUUCAACAUUAGUAUACUUCAUAUAAUUCUCGCGCUAUAAAUUUAUUAAGAUAAAUAAUUAGUAUAAAUUUUAAAGUCAAAGUAUCAUUAUCUGACCCAAAUGAAACAAGUUGAUAAAUUAGAUAGUAAAUUAAAAUUUUGAAAAAUGCUGAUUCAAAAAGAUCCAUAUUUCAAAUAAGCUAUAUAUAUAUAUAUAUAUAUAUAUUGAUUUUGUAAAGUUAGAUUUAUCUAGUAAAUUUAAGCAGAUUUGAAAACUUAAAUUAUUUAAUCUAAAAGUUUUAUCUGAUUAUUAUCAUCUAAUUUGAUAAAAAAUAGAAAGAAGUAUAGUAGAUUAGUAAAUUUGGUUUAUUAAAAUUUAUUUUUGAUCAGACGUUGAAUCGAUUAUCAGUAUAUAAAUAAAUAAAUAAAUAAAUAAAUAUUAUUGUAAUGGUAUUGUGUAAUAUAUUGGGCUAAAAAAAGAUCAAAUUUUAUUCAAAUCGGGUGUAAUGCACCACAUAAUUAAAAAUAAUAUCAAAUUAAAAUUUUUGAAAAUAAUCUAAUUAUAUACGUUCUAUUAUAUAUCUAAUAUAAACAUAAAUUAUUUUCUAUUUAAAUUAAAUUUGACACACAUUUUAUUAAUGAGAUUUCAAAAUAUUAAGCGGGCCAAUAAAAGCCCGGCCCAGGGAAUGAUAACUUGUCCCCUAGACCCGGUUUAUUGGGCCGGACUAGGACCAGCACUUAAAAUAAAUUUUCAAAAGCCCGGCUCAACGGGCCCGGUCCAGCGAGUAUACUGUUAUUUGUGGGGCUAUUCUUUUUCUACAAACUUUUUUUUUUUAAAAAAAAAGCUUUUACAAAAGUAAUUCAAUUUAUUUAUCACAAAAAUUUAUAAAACUUACAUAACGUUUUUUGUACUCAAUCUUUCAAUUUGUUCUCUUCGAAUACAAAUUUUAAGCUAAUUGUUUACUUUAAUAAAUUUAUAGUUACGUAAGUUACAUAAAAUAUAGUAAUUAAAUUUGUAAAGAUAAACAAAGCAUUCAAAUUUUAAAUUUAAAAAAGUCACUAAUUGGUUCAAAUCAAAUAAAUUAAAAGGUCGGAUAGUAAAAUCAAAUAUUCUGAAAAUCAGAUAAUUAGAUACAAAGAGUAAUAUUUUGAUACCUUUUUUUUACCAUUAUUUUUUUUUUCAAUUUUGUAAAGGGUAUUUUGGUACUUAAAGAAUGUUUUGAUUUACAUCAUAAAAAUAUGAUACAAAGUUUCUCUUAAUAAUGGAACAAAAUUAAUGAAUUUCAUUGGAUCCAAAAAUUAUUUGAUAAACCCGAUCCAAUUAGCUACCAAAAAUCCUAGCUAAAAUCCAAAAAAAAUAAUUUUAUAAUAAAGAUGUACUCAUGUACAUGGACCCUCUAAACUUUGGCAGUUUUAUAAAUAGACGUCUGAACUUUAAAUAAUAGCAUUUAGGUACUUUAAAUUUAAUCAAAUAAUUUAAUCCGCCUCUCCACCAUUCGAAGUUUUUACUUACUCGGUCACUUUAGAGUCGCUUCUAUUGCAUAUAAUCUUAUAAAAGAAAAAAUUCUUUAAUUAUGACGUUUAAAAUUAUCAAAAUUAGAAAAAAUUUAGAUUUUUUUGUGUGUGCGCUUUGAAGCUAUAUAUAUAUAUAUAUAUAUAUAUAUAUGGUAUAAAAGGGAGAAAUUUAUUAAACUAUUUCAUAAAAUAUUGGAGAUCUAAAUGCAAAAAUUUAAAAUUUAGGAGUUUUUUUUUUUUUGCAAAAAUAUUAAAGUUUCCUAUUUUGAGGUCCCAGUGGGGCCCAUGUUACCCACAAGUACAAGCAAGAUGAGUCACCAUACCAUGAUUUGAUUCCUUGUGUCCCCACGUGACACUGUUGCAAGAGGAAACAAUGCAUAUGGAUAUGGCCCAUAUGGGAGAGGGUCUACCAAUUUUUCGCCCGCACCCGGUGCAUCGUGAUUCCAUGCACCGCCAAUUUAUCAACCUUCCAUUAUAUUCAGAGCAUAUUUGGUUCAUGAUCAGAAUCAAAUCAAAUAUCGAUCAAUGCUAAAAGCAACGAAUCAUUACCGUUACAUGCUUGACUCAAGGCUCCUAUUUUACUUUAGAAGGACGGUCAGGGUAUAGUUUCCUACAACCAAACUGUCAGCACGAAAGAUAAUUAUUCUGAGUAUUAUCCUUGACCUCAGAGCUUUUCCUAUCGAAAAUGUUCUUAUAUAAAAGAUGAUUGAUCAGUUAUAUAUAGUACGACCAAACCAACUUAGCUAAGGUGGAGAAACUCUUUAGUUUGAAAAUAGAGAUCUAAGGUCAAAAUUCAGAUUAAACCACUUUAGGGUUUAAGAUUUAUAGAGUUUACAUAAGAAUACUGAAUAAAAACACUGAUCGAUCGAUAGCGCACAGAUCUGUAGAUACAGGUAUGCAUUGUAUGCAAGCAAUAAUUUGCAAAAAAAUAUGGUGGGAGACAUUACAUCACUCAUGUCACUGUCACAUUCACGAGUGAGUGGAUUUGUUGUGUUUUUUUAUAUAUAACUUUGUUCAAUAGCGUUUUCACUGUGAAGUGGCAACAAAAACACUCCAUCUAUGUAAUUCUUAAUUUUCUAUGCCCCACCACACGCAUCAGAUUGAGUGAUAUGCCCCCAAAAAAAAAGGACAAUGAAAUCUGUAUUAUACUGGUGGUGGAUUUUGAUAUUUUGCCAACACAUUAUUUUAUACUUAAGCUGAUAGACGGAAAAAUAUCAGCCUUUCAAAAACUUACCUACUUAGUAUGAAAAAUUCGACAGGUAUUAAAACUAUUUCUGAAUCCAAGAUUUUAAGUGUCCGUCGGCACGGAUCGUAUCCACCGUGUCGUAUCAUGCCAAUAAAAUAGCGGUACGAUACAGAACCCGUACCGAUGGCACAGUUCAGAACCCUCUAUUAUUUUAAAUUAGUAAGUAAUUUUCUCAAUAAAGUUUAAAAGAUGUGAUAAAAGGAUAUAAUAAAUAUUUAGAAUAUUUUGUUGCAAAAGAAAAUAAAUAUUUAAUGCUAUUAUGUGUCGGCACACAAGAAUUUUUUGAUCGGUACGUAUCGGCACGGCUCGGCAUAUACUGUGCCGGUAAGUUUCCUGUACGAUCCCGUGUUAUGACACUUAAAUUCUUGUCUGAAUCAUUCUCUAUCAAACUGAUCUCCGUGUUUACUCUGAAAGCUUAAAAUGGAGGCAUAAUUUUUGUAUCCUAUUCUCUCACAGUAUAAAAAGUAACUGACUAUUCUAUAAAAGCUUAAGCUAUCAGUAGAAAUCAAUUUUGGGCAGCAACAGCAGUUAAUGAGUGCAGCAAAUAACUGCUGCACACAACUGCAAGGAGCCAAAACCACCAUAACUGCUGCCAGCAGCUGUAAUUUUCCCAGGAAGAACCUUCCUGGAAGGUGGCCAGUCCUCUCUUCCAUGUUCCCCACCAAAAACCCUUCUCUCUCUCUCUCUCUCUCUCUCUCUAAAAAUAAAAUAAAAUAAAACAAAACAAAAUAGUGCUUGUACCAAUGAUGUGUAUAAGCACUUUUCGUACACGGCACCUCUGAAAAUUUUGCCACAGAGACCUCAAAAUCAAAAUCUAAAUCACGGAAUACAUUAUUUACCGAUUAAAAGAGUCUACGCGUCAAAAUUAUGUACCUUAAACUUUUCUCCCUCACCAUUGAUUUUUUGAGACUCCCAUCACUUACAAGUUUUUAUAUGGAGUGUCGCAUCUAUUAUACUGGAUAGGGUUACUAUACUCUUGUGAAUAUAAAUCUCUUUAUACUUAUAUGUUUUCGAUCAUUGGAUGGAGAUAUGUGCGGUUAGGAUGAUAGUUGUCUCUUAGGUUGAGUGGGUGGUUGGUUGAAUAGUAUGAUCUAACGGGUGUAAAUAAUCAAGGGGGUAUAUCUAACGGCCGAAAAUUUAUGAGUACAAAGAGCCUUAUAUUCAUAAGAGUAUAGUAGCCGAACUCCUAUUAUGCUAGUUUCUGAUUUGCCAUAUAAAUUUAUAAAAAAUGGUAAUUAUUAAAUAUAAAAUAUUAAAAUAAUAUUGAUAAUUUUUUUGCACGAUAUCAUGAGAGAAGUACGUGAGAUCUUGAAUUCUCCGUCUUCUUCUGAAUUCUCUGACAAUUUAAAGUUUCAUAGAAACUGAUUAUUUCAUAAAUUUUAAUGGAAAAGUUUUCAGUGUGCCCCUCUAAAAACACAUAUUUAUAUGAAUGCCUUUACAAAAAUUGAAAUAUCUUAAAUAUCCCUCUAAAUAUAGAAAAUUUUCAAAAAGUACCCUUCAAAAAAAUUUCUUGUUAAAAUCCACACUAACGGCAUCCAAAUAAGCAAAUACCAAUUUUAUCCUUUUCAUAGUUGCCCUUUUAAUUAGCCACUCUAUUAUUUAGUACAUUUGUGCUUUGACCCUUUACUGUAAAAUUUUAUAAGAUGAUUUGAGUGUUUUUAAAAAAUUUUGCAAGCAGUGUUAAAUCAUUUAAUUGUAAUUUCAAAUCUGGUAAGUAAUUUUAUACUCUAUGAUUAGCGAUAAAACUUCAUAAUUUUUCAGUCGAUUUAAGAUAGAAAUAUUAUUCAUAAUAUAUAAAUCUUACAGAAACCAAUAUGAAAAUCUAACUAACUAAAUAACAUAUACAUAUUUCAUAAGUAGGAUAAAUAAUUAUAUUAAAAGCUGAUAUUUAAAUUUAUAAGAUAUUUACAAAAAAAUUAUAACUCAUUACUAAUAGUUCGAACAUUUAAAAGGACAACUAUGAAAAGAAUAAAAUAGAUAUUUUGUCGCCAUUAGUGUGGAUUUUAACAAAACAAUUUGUUCCGAACAAUACAUUUAAAAAUUUUCUAUAUGUAGAGGUGCAUUUAAGAUAUUUCAAAUCCAUGUAAAUAUUUGCCUUUAGAGGGUCACACAGGAAAAUUUCCCCAAUUUUAUUUUAUAAUAAUUAGGGAAAACUUCAAAUACCCCCAUUGUGGUUUCGCACUUUCGCAUUUUAGUACUCUAUAAUUUAAAGUGUAUCAAGUUAGCACCCUGUGAUUUCGCACUUUCUCACUUUAGUACCAUAUGGUUUAAAGUAUAUCAAGUUAGUACUCUAUGGCUUCAUUUUUGUAUCAAGUUAGUACCCUAUGGUUUCAUUUUUCUCUUUUUAUUAUCCAUUUCGAGGUAUUUUUUUCUUAAAAUCAGUGUCAAAGUUAAAAUUAAAGGGUACUAAAAUGAAUAUUCUAGAUACAGUAUCUGAAGUUUUUUGUAUAUAAUUUAACGAAAUAUUAAACCACAGGAUACUAAAGUGAGAAAGCACGAAACCACAGGAUACUAAUUUGAUACACUUUAAACCACAGGGUACUAAAAUGAGAAAGUACGAAACCACAGGGGUACUAACUUGAUACACUUUAAACCACAGGGUAUUAAAGUGAGAAAGUGCGAAACCACACGGGGUAUUUGAAGUUUUCUCUAAUAAUUAUAUAGUGCAUUAUAUAUAUAUAAAUGUACUCAAUGUGGUGGCCAUAAAUAAUUUCCUUCUCUCUCUCUCUCUAAGUUCAACAACUCCCACACCAUGUAUUACUCUUCCACACAUACACACUCUCUCUCUCUCCUCUUCUCACAAAAGAAGAAGAGACCAUUACACAUAGUAGAAUUUACAAUGAAGAUUUAGUACAUAGUUGAAUUUUCAUUCUUAUAGUGACUUUCUAAUUAUCCUUUAUAUAUAUAUAUAUAUAAAUAAAUAUAAGCACAAUUAUUAUAUAUUAAUGGCCAUCAUGGCCGGGAUUCUCGCGGGCUCGGACUCCGCGCGGCGGCGGCAGCAGCAGCGGCAGCGGCUCCGCCAGGCCCGAUCGGCGGCGGAUUCGGCCGCGGUCGGUUCACGGCGAUCAUCAUCAUCAUCAUCAUCUUCUUCUUCUUCUUCUUUGUUAUAUCAUGCAACAAAGGGAACUGAGACUCUGCAUAAUAGUACUGUUGCAACCCUGGUUAGUGGUGUGCUUUAGUUAAUGUACAGAGUUAAUUAUUAUUCUUAAGAUUUGUUAUUAAUUGCCCCUAAUUUGUAUUAUGUGUGGUGGUUUAAUAAUUUUUUUUGUUUUGUUUUGUUUUCUUUUUUUACCAGCAAAUUGUUAGGGGCAAUAAUAAUAAUAAUAAUAAUUACAUGAAUAGAGAGUUUCAUGAUUGGAACCUCGGGAGUGGCGCUCGCGAGGCCAAGGAAAGGUUGGAUGAAAAGCUUCGGAAUCAGAGAUCUUCAUCAGUGGUCAAAAGGUCAAAAAAUUAAAAUUCUAACUUAUGCUUAUAAUAUAAGCGGUUUUAUUCACGCAUUAGUAUAAAUUUUUGAAUUCAAUUUCAGUCUCUUUAAUAUGAUAUAUCAUGUGAAAUAAUAAUACGACACUAUUUAGUCUGAUAUGAUCAUGUAAAAUAAUAAUACGACACUAUCGGAUAGUGUUGGAGCUUAGCUUGAUUUUCAAUCUGGCUAUCUAUAUUACACUUUGAGAUGUGUUUAGUUUACGUUUUGUAAUAUUCCAGUAAUUCUCUAUAUUUUUAUUGAAGAUAUUCAAAUUAUUAUUAUACAGCUCAAAUUAGAUAGUUGCAAAAGCUGUUAGCGAAAUAUAUAAUAAAAUUAUUAUAACAUUCCAGAUGAUAAAAAAAAGAGAAAAUGUCAAACGCCAUUCCUAUAGUUUUGUACUUUCUCACUUUGGUACUAUGUGGUUCAAAGUGUAUCGACUUAGUAUUCCGUUGUUUCAUUUUUUUCUUUUUAUUAUCCCUUCCACUAAUAUUUUUUCGUUAAAUCGGUGACAAAAUUAAAACUAAAAGAUACUAAAGUGAAUAUUCGAUAAACCUAGGUGGGGUAUCUCAAAUUUUUAAUAUAUAAUUUAACGAAAUGUUAAUGGAGGAGCUGACAAAAAGAAAAAAAUAAAACCAUAGGGUACUAAAUUGAUACACCUUAAGCCAUAAGAUACUAAAGUGAGAAAGUGCGAAACCACAGAGGUGGUAUUUAAAGUUUGCCCAAAAAAAAUAGAUUAUCAUAAGUUAUGAGGUUUUCUUAUUUUUAUGCUUGAUAAAAUUCAUUAGUAUUACAUUAAUAAGAAUAUACUAAUUUCUAACAACCCUCAACUCAAACCGCUUGAUAAGUUCGUAACAAACGUGUCAUUGCAAUUUUUUUUGAAAAAGAAAUAAUUAAAGUAUUUUAGUAAGAAGUACGAAAAAUAGAACACAAUACCGAGAUAGUACAGGAGUUUUCCUCCUUACAUUUUUCUCUCUUUUGUGUGUGUGCGCGCGCACGUGUGUGGUAGCAGACGAUAUAGCAUGGUGAGCAUAGUGGGCGCAUUGCAGAAGGAGAUCUUCUCUUAUAGGAAGAGCAGCACGAGGAGGUUCAACUGGAGCAGAUUGGCGUGGAACAAGAAUGUGGAAGCGAAGCCAGAUCACGCGGCUACCGAGUGUGCUGUCUGCCUGGAGGAGUUUAGAGCAGGCGACGAGCUGACCCACCUGCCUUGCGCCCACCGCUUCCACCGUAGCUGCGCCGUGCCCUGGCUCGAAAUCUCACCGCAUUGCCCGUCUUGCCGAACCUGCAUCUUCCCUUCUUGCAGAUAGUACGUAAGAAGAGUAUAAGUGAGAAUGAAUAACAUACUCGCUAUCUUGUUGUUCAAGAUGUAAAUGGAUCCUAGGAUCAACCAAUUUGGACAAAAUAAAAAAGUUAAUGUUCCCUUCCUCUAAGAUUGGUUUUUCUUUUCAUUUAUUUUACUUUGGGAAAACUUCAAAUGCCACUUCUGUCGUUUUACACGUUCUCACUUUCGUACCCUGUGGUUUAAAAUGUAUCAAUUUAGUGUCCCGUGGUUUUAUUUUUAUCUUUUUAAUAUCGAUUUUACUAAUUUUUUUUAUUAAAUCAGUAACAAAGUUAAAACUAAAGGGUACUAAAAUAAAUAUUCGAUAAACCUAGGUGGGGUAUCUGAAGUUUUUUUGUAUAUAAUUUAACGAAAUAUUAACGGAGGAGCUGACGAAAAGAUAAAAAUGAAACCACAUGACAAUAACUUGAUAUACUUUAAACCAUAGGGUAUUAAAGUGAGAAAGUACGAAAUUAUGGGAGCGGUAUCGGAAGUUCACCUUUUUUAAAAAAGGGACAAAAACAGAGAGCAUUACAGUGCAUAAAGAAAGAUUUCUAUCCCAAAAUAUAAAAGAGAAAAAUGUAUCAAAAUUACAAAUGAAAAACUAGAUAUUUAAUUUUCAAACUUUGCACAUUACAAUGACACAGAGUUCAUUUUUCGCAUUUCUCUUUAUACAUUCAUAUCCAGAGGGAUUUGACGCGCUCAAAUAGAAUUGCGAUAUAAAACUUGUUCUCUUCGCUGGAGCUUACGUAAAAAUAUUUCCAAAAUUUUAUAUAGUACUAUUUGAAAUCUAAGUUGGAACUUCUGCUUUAGAGCUUAAAUCUCACUUUAGUAAUCUAUAUUAGCCGAAAUUUUAAAAUGUGUGGUAAUCAAAUAUCCGCAAUUAGUAAUUAAUUACAUAAUGAAUCUUAGCAGCUAAAAUGAGUUUUUUUUAACACCAAUAGGCGGAUCACUUUCCCCGGUUCAAACAGAUCCUUUAUAGGCUCCGUUUGGUUCAGAAAUUAGUAGGAACUAGUUAUACCAGAAAUAGAUACAAAUAUUGAUUUUUGUAAGAAUAAGGGUAUUUUUUUAUUUGGAUUAAAAUGUGAGUAUAAGCUAGAAUUAGAAAAAUUACGUUUGGAUGGUUAUUGGGAAUAAGAGGAAUAGUUGUUAGUUAUAAAUAGAAAAUAAUAAUAUUAUCCCUAUAAUUGAAUUUAAAUUUUUAAAUUUUAAACUUAUGAUUUUAAAUUGAAAUUUGAAAUUUUUAACUUUUAAAUUUUAAAAUUUGAAAUUAAAAUUUAAAAUUAUAAUUUUAAAUAUCAAAUUUCAAAUUUAAGACUAAAUUUAAAUUUCAAAGAUAUAAAAUAGCAAAUUUAAAAUUUAAAAACUAAAAUUUUAAAUUUUAAAAUUUAAAAAUAUCAAAUUUAAAAUUUAAACUAUAAAAUUUAUAAUUUUAAAUUAUAAAUUUAAAUUUUAAAAUUAAAAUUUAAAAUAAAAAAACUCUCUCUCUCUCUCUCUCUCUCUACUCAAGUGGAUGGGAACAAGUUUGUUUUCAACUCGGGUGGGAACACCCGGGAACUAUUGUUUCCAUCCUUACCGGACUGGUAAGGGUGGGAAAAAUAGUUCCCACCCCCCAGUUUUUCUGUUUGGGUAUAAAAUGGGGAUAUCCCCUUAUCGUCUUUAUACCCGAGCCAAACAGGGUGUCGAAGGACACAAAAUAUUUAAAAGAAAAAAAGAAAAAGAAAAGAAAAAAAAGUUAACAAUCAACAAAGAGGGAAGAAAAAGCUUUUCACUUGCAAAAAUUUUGAAUACUGCUGUAAAUAAAUUUUGUUGAUAUGUUUAUACUAUCAUAUAAAAUAAAAAAAAAUGAUUGAUGGACUGAUACACCUACAUCAAAAUUAUUUUAUCAAAUUAUUAGCACACCAAUAAUAUGGAUAAGUACAAUUUUUUAAAAGGAUGUAAAAAUAAAAGUUUUUUUUUUUUACUUAAAAAUGAGAAAAGGGUAGAUAACAACAGCAAAGCAAGUGAUGGGUACUUUCUGGGUGACCAGUCAUUAAAACCAUUCAUUCAUUCAUUCAUUCAAUCAUUAAAACCAACAAUAGAUUCUGAGGAGGAGGAUACCAAAUAAUUGAGGUAAGUGGGGCCCCCUGUCAUUUCAAAAAAUUUAAAAAAGGUUGGGUACAUUCUCAACUUUUCUCAGCAGCAAAUUCACUAUUGUUAUAUGUCACAUAUAUUUAAUACUUUUUAUUAUAUAAAAAUAAAGUAUUAAAUUUUAUACUUUUUAUUAUAUAAAAAUUGUGUGUGUGUGUAUGUGUGUGUAUAGAAGGAGAGAGAAGAGGAGGGUUGGGGGGACACGUGUCACUCUAAGGUCCCCCAAAUUUUUCUUUAAUGUAGUUAAAUAGAUAGAUGUGAUAGCUUAUAGCUGUUACAAAAAAAUAAUUUCUCUCGCAUGUAUUGGGUUUUGGAAUUAACAUCUAUCAAACUUUUGAAGAGGGCUGAAGUUGAUUGAUGUGACUUGCAUAAGGGAGAUAACAAAGACAGACAGUUAUUAUUAUUAUAACAUUAAAUUUGAAAUGAAUUAUUAUAUUUGAAUACUUGUUACCUUACAACCAUACAAUAAAAUACUGGCUCAUAAAUAAUAUUUUAAAAAAUAUUUCGAGAAACUCACAAUACAUUAUAAAUGAGAUUAAUGAAAUAGAGAUUAAAGAGACAUAACACUUAUUAGGGUGUUUAAUUUGGUGGAAGUGGAUGAGUGAAACUCAAAUUCCAUCGCUUUCGAUGUUUAUUUUAUUAUAUGUCAAAAAAAUAAUAUAACUCAAAUUAUAUUAAACCUCCACUUCAUUUGCUCUCGACUUCUCCCUCUUGAAUGCUGAAUUCAAAUUCCACCAUACUUAAUUUUCUCUAAAACAAAAUUAAUCAAAUAUUAAAACCGAAGCUCUACUUCCUUUAGAAUGGAUUAAAAUUACAUUUUUUUUACAAUGGGUUAAAAUUACUUCUAACCACUUCAAAAAAACUCAAACACCACUGCACUCGAAUUACAUUGAAUCUAGAGAUUCGUCGAUCCAAAUGCCCCUUUAGAGGCUUCAGGCUUUUUCAUGUGAGAAAACAUUAGUUUUUUUUUCUGAAUAUGUUCAUAAAGAAAUUAGGUUUUACAUUCAAAACCACAAACAAUAUACAUACUGUAAUAUUUUACAUGGGAAACAAAGAUAACACAAGUCAAUCGUUUCGGUUACUAGGUAGUAUUUUGAUCUGUCACUACACACACAAUGCAGAUUAUGGAUUCCAAGCACAAGAAGAAACCACUUACGCAAUUUGAAAGGCUACAUUGCAACCCUAGUUCUUAAAACUAAACAGCAGAUGACACUUGAGUCUGAAAACUUUAAUUUAUAAUAAUUUCUGACUUAAAACUUCUUAAAUCAUUGCAAUUAGGUUCGAUCGUCAAGCCCGGUCCAACCAAGUUGACAGAUGAUGCUUGAGUCUGAAAACUUUAAUCUAUAGUAAUCUCUGACUUAAAACUUCUUAAAUUGUUGCAAUUAGGUUCGAUCGUCGAAGCCCACUCCAACUAAGUUGACGGAAUGCUGACACGACAUUCUACUAACCGUCACAUCAUCGACACAUUAUUGCCACUUUAAUAUAUGCUAAUGAUAUGGCAUUUUAAUUAGUACCACUCAACACCACAUCAGUAAUGAAGGGGAGAGGAGAAGAGGCAGAUAUUAUUGCCUGCACAAGGUACAGCGGAGCAUCCGUGCACGACAAGCAAAAUCUAAACAAGAUGAUCUUCAAAUCGAAGUCUUAAUCCAUUGGAUGCGAUGUUGCAUAAUUAUAUAGGCCUUUGUAUCAAAACUAGUAAGUUUUGGAAAAUCAUUACGAAGCUCUAGUAAUCUCAAAAUCAACGGCGUGAAAGGGAUUAUCAUUUAAUGCAAGAACUGUCAAAGUAGAUGUCUAAAACAUGAUUUUCAUCUGAAAACAUUUCCUGCAUGGUAGAUCAAAUUCAACGGAUUACAUUCGACUUGAAACUCGGUUAAAAUUUUGCUAAUGACGCGCAUGCUCUGGUGCACCUGGUGAAAGCAAUAAUUUUCUCCCCUUUCUUUCCCCUCCUAGGUAUGUGGUGAUGAAAGAGCAAUAACUAAAAUGCCAUGUCAUUACCAUUUCCGCAUGGCAACGGUGUAUUGAUGGCACAUCAGUGGCUAGGACACCACGUCAGGGCCGUGCUAAACACUAACAGUUUUGACGAUAAAACUUGAUUGCAACAAAAAAAGUUUGAGCUAAAAAUUACGACAAGUUAAAAUUUGAGGGUCAAAAUGCCACCUACAUUAUGGUUUGAGGGUUGUGAGUGCGAUUCACCCAACUUGAGAUACUCUUGAGUACUGGGGCUAGGUUGAAUGGCUUCUGGAAUAGUUUCUCAGCUUCCAAAAGCAAUAGUUAAAAUUUAGCAAACAACAAUUUUGAAACUGCAACAUGUACUCUUGCAUGAAGUUGAAAACGAGCAUCUCAGCCCCAAAUUUGAAGUUUCUGCUUUUGCUGCAGAAGGAAGUUGAGAAGAUACCGAUGGAAAAGCUAUUACUGUUUCUUCGAAAUUGAUUCACUCAGUAACCCUUCUGCAGAAGCUCUUGCAGGGCGAAACAAGCUCUAUAACUCUAGGAUACCCCCUCACAUACAUCCCCGCGACACAAAGGGCACACCCUGCAUUCAGUAAAGAAAGAAAUAAAAAAAUACAGCAUAGUUUGGAAAAUGGUAAUUCCUAGAUAUGUAAAUAAGAAAAGAGUCUCAGCAUUAAUUAUACCGGUGUAUUUCUUUAAGCCACUUGUCAAUGCAUGGCAUAUGAUAUUCAUGGUGGCAGGGAAGGACUCUGAUCUGAUCUCCAUCCUCAUAUUCGGAAAGGCAGAUAUAACAUCUAGUGAAAUGCAUAACAGAAAGUUUAAUAUUGUGAAGUAGGAUAAAGCAAAGUGUAUGUUAUAUUUAUCUUUAGCCAGCCAAGGAAUAGAAGGAUAGUAUUAGCCAUAAAACUAAUUGCUCCGCCGAACCACAUACCACAGUAAUGGAAAGAAGUUAUUGCAGCUCGAAAAGAUAUUUUCUCCUAUACGACAUUUUCAACCAUUCAAAUAGACACAAAAGGAAGAAAGUGACUCCAUAGUCGUGUUAAGAAUGCAAAAAAUUUUGGCAGACGUUUUUUUAAAAAUUUUCUGGGGGGCUAGUAGAAGUUCAAAACUUACUGUUCAAUGUCAUCGCUAAUUCCAGCUGCAUCAAGCUUUUUGUAACUCUUAGCAGGCAACGAAUUAACAAUAGACUCUGGUGCAGGGAGAGAAACCAUAGAUAGAGAAAGUGACACAGGCUGGCGAUGAAUUUCGUCCAAGACCUGCAAAGUGUUUAUGUCUAAGUCAAAAUACCAUAUAAGAACUCAAGAGCAUGUUUUGUGCAUGCAUUAAAUUUUAGUUUCUUAUAAUUGUUAAACAGUAAACAUAUAAAAUAUAUGAUAGUUCAGUAGUUAACAUUACAAAAAAAAAAAGAAAAGUACAUAUAGAAGAUAUCAUAAAGAACAGAAGGGGAAGAAAGGGGCAGUGGGGAUCAUCUUGAUGAACAUGCAAUAUGAAGAGGCAUGAGUAUUGACGUUGUAAACAAAUAGGACUAGAAUUAUACGUAGCUUCAAAAGCUAGAAGAUCAGAAUCUGACUUCUCCAAAAUCAAUGGAGAGUACAUAGGAUCUUACAGUACAAACCUCAAACAAUGCUUCCGCUAGCAUGACGAUUCUUGAAAUACUUGAUGGGGUGCCUGAUUCUCCAGCCAUAGAGAAUGAACUGCAUGAGCAUGUGCCACAUGGGUGGAGCCCUGUCGCACAAAAGGUAGUUGGCAUACUGGUAUUCUCAAAGCCAGGACGAUGCCGUUGCCUUAUCUGCACCAAGGAACUGUAAGAUCAAAAUGUCCAGAAAUUCACCUCACUUAUUCAUGUAGAAAAUGAAUUGGAUUUGAAAUAAAAUACCAUAAAAGCCCAGGUUUAUAGAAAAGAAUUGCACCGAAAAGGUUAAAAUUGUUAAAAUUCGUAUGACCGAGGAUUUCAUGCAGCCUAACUUGAAGUAAUAAUUAACAUAAAAGAUUACCCGUGAUCUUGAAUGCCAGCUUAGACUACUUGAACCAUUGCGCCUGCGGCGAGAGUACCUUGACUCAUCUUCAACGCCAUCUCCAAAAAGAUCAAGACCAAGUUCAAGCCAUCUAUCAUAAAAUCCUAGAUUAGAAGUAUGCUCAGAUGAUAAAAGUGAUGCCAUAGAGUCAACAUGGCCUCUGGAACUGCUUCUGGUAAUAGCAUCCCAAAACAGCCUUCUACUAUUCCUUCUCUCCAAGCUGCUGCUUGUCCUGCCAGAGCCACUAGGUAGUACAUCAGAGGAAACGCUCGGCAUAUCCACAUUAAGUAUGUUUUCACUACACGGUUGUUGUGACUCCCUCAAUGCGGCAUCAUCUGCACCAGAAUGGUUUGUGCCUCUUGUAGGUUCUUCACCUAAUGGACAUAAAGUUGAAGAAGAAUUUGAAGCAGCGGAGUUCAAAUCUGAGUUAAAACUAUGACUACUUGAUCCUUCACUGGAAAGUUUGCUAUAGGAUGAUGUUCCAACAGGCGGAAAAUCUCUGUUAGUAGUAUUACCAACUUCCAGAGCUGGGACAAAGGUGUUAUCUGUAUUUCCUAAGGACUGCUCUAGAAUACCAGGUUUUCUGGAGGUGCUUGCCUGAUUACAAGUCCUCUCAGAAAUAAUUUCCAGUCCAGAACUUCUACUAUGAAGAGAAGCCAUAAGUUCCAUGCUCAAAGAUUUCCCUGAGUCUCUAGUUUCAGUAUUUUCCAAUUCCAUUCCACCUUCCGUGUGGUUACGAUAAGUAGGUUGACUUGAACCGAGAGGGUCAUUCAUGGAAUUGGAAGAGGUUUUUCCAGAUGAAAUUUUCAGAGGCAACUCGGCUUGGACGUGGACAACUUUAGUUGACGAUGUAUCAGGAACACUCUCUGGAAUCACCAUCUUCUCCAAUGGCCAAGUUUCUAUCUGCAGAUAAAGAACUUCGCUAUAACUAAUGAUAAAUAAAGGAAUUCUUGUGUUUUAUUCCACUAUGUUGAACAACAUAAAAGGCAGUAGCUCUUCAGCACUGGUCUAAUCAGAGAAAAGCUUUUGGUCACAUCUCAUAAAUAUUACAGCAGUAUAACAGAGAUUAAAUUAUAUACUCUAUGAAGCUUGAGUUGAAGCAUACAGAAUACUGUUAUUUUUCUUUCUUUUUAAGACAAAAUACCAGCCUCUUUGCAUAAUAAGAGUUUACAAGAUCUCAUCCUAACAGGAGAGGCCCACUCUAUUACUAAUGGAUUGACUCUAUGAAAACAAAGACUACUAAUGAGUAAUGAUAAUUCAGAUGUAAAUCUAAUUGGACAAAUUAAAACAAAUAAACUCAAACUACAUAAAUAAGCUGCAACUAGAUUUGACUAAACAUAAGCUAUCAAUAUCCUUCAUGAUAACUCCUUUCUCUGUAUCUAGUCUCCCCCAGGACACCAACUUCCUCAAUCAGCAUUCUUUACCAAGUCCUUGUCAAGACUUGGUCUUUCUCGUGUUUCAUUAAGUGGUGCAGAGUUUUUAAAAGAAUAAUUUAAUAAAAUAGCACACUGGAGAACGGAGCAAAUCAAAUAAGUUCAAAACUAGGAAUGAUCUAAUAAUUUAAGACCAACUAAUUGAAUACCAAUCACAGCACUUCGUCUGACAAAACUAAAUAAAAAAUUAUAGCAAGUACAAACUUGUAACAAUCGAGCUCCAAGGAGUUCUAUAAUUGCAAAUUACACAAAUAUAGCGAACCAAUAUAUAUGCACCUCAUCUGCAAACAUAAAUAACCACAAAAUGCAAUGAAACUACUGGAAUCUCGUCCUUCUCAGCAUUUUUUUGACAGUGAUCCUUUUCUACUCCUUUCACAAUUAAAAUGGCACAAGUAUACUGCCAAAUCCAAGACAGCCUUAAGUCACUAUAUUCUUUCUAUUCCACAAAUAAUGCGAAAAAGCUUCCAAAUCAAGAUAAAUCAACACCCAAACAGAAAAAUUAAUAAAUAAAAAGAUAAAGAUAAAGAUAAAGAAAAUAAAGAAAGCUAAAUCUAAGGCCUUGUUCGGCGCUGUUGUCGUUUUCUUGUUUUUCUAAACAUAAUUUCUGCACGAAAUACUGUGGGAGGGAAUGGUGUUUUCUCUGCUCGGAAGCAACUUUCUUUUGCUUCCAAAUCCUUUUUAGAUAUAUUUUUUCUUAUGAAAUCGUCAUCAAUCACUUCACCCGAAUACGUUACGAGGUAACUAAUCAUGACAACAAGAGAAAAAUUCUCACACUGCUAUAUCAAAUGUUAUAUCUAAUUAUACAGAAUUAGUUUUUAAAAAAACAAAAAAAGGGGAUUUUUUUUUUUCCUUCUCUCCUUGCGGCGCCAACAUUUCCAUUACUUUAAAUGAAAAUAAAUAAUCUUUACAUCCCCACAUACAAUAAUAAUCCUUUUUUUUUGUUUUUUCGGUUGAAAGGUAAGCAAGGAUAAAAUUAUUAUCAUCCAAUAGAUUGUGUAUUGUAUUUAGGCCAAAAAAACAACAAAGUUACUAAUCUAAUAUAUAUCAUUUCGAAAUGAUACAAAAUUUUAGAGUACCAAAUCAGCUAUUUCCUAAUUAAAAAUUUAAACACGAAUUCAACGAUCCAAAAGGAACAAAUACACCACACAAGAUUCAGAUAACAGGGGAUCGAUUAAUACUAGGGUUUGAGGGGGAAAGUGUUCGUUCUAGGGCACCUGAGCCGAAUCGGAGGGGGAGUUCUCGGCGGAGGCGGCGGAGGCGGCGCCGCAGAGGAGAACGGCGAGGCGGAGGCGCCUCCGGCGAGGGGACGAGCGGGGAGAUGAUGGCCUCGGCUCGAUUCUACUACUCCCGGAGCCCAUUUCGAAACCCUAGUUCGACGAGAAGAGCGAGAGAGAGAGAGAGAGAGAGAGAGAGAGAGAGAGCGAUGAACGGGAGAUGGAGACAGGGCAUGGGCCUUCAAAUAAUUGGCGUAUUAUUUAUAUUUAUUUAUUAUAUAUGUAUAUAUAUUUAUAUUAUAUUAAUAUAUUUUUUAUAUAAUUAUAAUUAGGAUUAAUUUUAUAUAGAUCCCUACAAAUAUAAUAAAUUAUAAAUUUAUCCCUAUAAAAAUCAACUUUAAUAUGUUGUUCUUAUAAAAGUCCUAAUAUUUUCAAAUAUAUUCCUCUGAUUUGGUAUCAUUAAAAUACUAUUUAUUUUAUAAGUGAAAUAACUUUUUUGUCAUCAUAAAUACGUUUUUUCAAAAAUCUCAACUAUUAAUUAAAAGAGGGUAAAAAGAUAAAUUCACCUCAUUAAGUAUUUUAUCUAUAAUUAACUAUUUUUUUUAAUGAAUCCUAAUGACAGAAAUAAUAUAUAAUAGUUAAAUGAUGUAGGAAUAUAUAUUUAUAAUUUAUUAUAUUUAAAAGGACCGGUAUAAAAUUAACUCUUAUAAUUAUUAAUUUUGGUUGGGUUUUUUUUUUAUUUAUUUAUCUAUUUAUUUGGUGAUGGAAAGCCCAUAGGCUUGGAUGAGGAUUACUUGUGUGGUUGGAAAAUAAGAUUUAAUAUUCUCAUAAAUAUAAAAGUAUAGUAUUAUGUUAAUUUUCUUUUGAGACAAUAUACUAAAAAUUAUUUUACUUAUUUUUGUAAAAAUUAUUUAAUUAUUUAAAUUAUUUUAAAAUUAUCUUUUUCUCUUAUCGUCAUAAAUAGUCCUCGAUACCGAAGAAGUAUUUAAAUGAUCGAGAUAAUAGAAAAUUAAACUCAUGCUCUGUUGGCAUUAAUUACUAAAAAAUUAUUAUAAAGAUAAUUUAAUUUUUAAUUUGUUAAGAAAUAAAAAUAUAUAUCUUCAUAUAUGUCACCGUGGUAACUAUUAUUUUGUCCAAUUACAUUAAAUAGCUCUCAAUACUAAAUAGGCCCUCAAAGUUUGGGUACAUAAAUCGAAUUAAUGAUGUGAUUGAUGGAGUUAACGACUAUUUAAAAUAUUAAAAUUAAUAAAAAAUAUAUAUUUAAUUUAUUUAAAGUUUAUGAAUAUAGCAUCUACUCAUUUCGAUUGUAGAUCAACUUAAUUUGCUGGAAUUUUAACUUAAACUUCUUAAUCUAAGACCAUAAUUAAGAGCUUAGAGAAACUCUUUUUUUUUUUUUACAUUUUACAUGCAACAGCUUAAAAUUAUAUAAUUUAUUAGAAUAAUUAUUGCCAAGUUUUUCUUUGGCCAAUUUGCAUAAAGAAUGCACUAGUUUUGGACUUUUGCAAAAGGGGUCACCUUUUUCGUUUUCGGUCCGAUUUUUUAGUAAACUGACCAAAAUAUCCUUUUACCUUUUUCUCUUUUUUUUUUUUCUCUCGUUCUUUUUUUCUUUCUCUUUCCAGAGAGUGGCGGAGGCGGAAGCGGAGGCGGAGGCGACCAGCUUCAAUUUUGUCUGGAGCAUUCUUACCCUGGCCCGCGCACCCCCCUCUCCCUCUCCAGCCUUCCUCGCCUUCGACCCCGGCAAGGUCGCAUUGCGACUUUUUUUUUCCCUUCUCUGACACUCCUCCACUGCCUCCGACGAUGACGCUUAUCUCACCCUCUCUCGCCCUUCUCGCCCUUUCUCUCUCUCUCCUCUUUCGCCUCCUCCGCCGCCGCCUUCGACGACGACGCCUCUCCGCCGACAUUGGCGCCGCAGAGGUCGCUGCGGCGCCGCAGCCUCGGAGUGGGGGGUCUUUAGCUGCGUCGUUGCCGGCACUGUGGCCGUUGGGGGAGAGGCAUGAUAAAAAAAAAUUAUAGAAGAGGAAGAAGAAAAAAAUAAAGAAAAAAAAUUAUAUAAGAAGAAAGAAGAUGAUGAAAUUGCACUGUUAAAAUAAGAUUACACUGUUUUAAAAUAAAUUUGCACUGUUUUAAUGAAAAUUGCACUAUUUGAUAUAAAAAUUAAUUUUUUUGGAAUGAAUUUUACACUCUUAAGACUAACAUUGUACUAUUUAGAAAAAUUUUGCACCAUUUUUUUUCCUUUUCUUUUUCUCUUUCUCUUCUUCUUCUUCUUCUUCCGCUGCUGCCUCCCGCCUGGCCCACGAAAGCGUGGUGGGGGCUAUCGCCGAGCUCGAGGAGGCUCCGGAGGUGGCGGAGAAGGCGAAGGAGAAGGGAGAGGAAAAGGACAAGAAGGGCGAGAGAGGGAGAGAUAGGCGUCGUCGUCGACGGCGGUAGAGGAGGGUCGAAGAGGGAAAAAAAAAGUUGCAGUGCGGCCUCAGCAGGGUCGCAGGCGAGGAAGGCGGGGGGUGCGGGGCGAGGGUAAGGAUGCGCCGAACAAAACCGAAACGGGCCGUCUCCGCCUCCGCCUCCGCCUCCGCCUCCGCCUCCGCCUCCGCCGUUCUCUUCGAAAAGAAAGAAAAAGUNAAAAAAAAAAAAAAAAAGAGAGGAGAGAGAAAAAGGUAUAAGGGCAUUUUGGUCAGUUUGCUGAAAAAUCGGAUCGAAUCUACAAAAAUGAAAAAGAUGACCCACUUUUGCAAAAGCCCAAAACUAGUGAAUUUUUUAUUGCAAAUUGGCCUUUUUCUUUUUAUCUUUUGGUAUUUGAAUGGAAUAAAAAGGAGUAUUUAAGUUACCCUUUUUUGUCCUCAUGUGCCGAAGAUGCUCUUCUAUAACUUUCCUAGGCAUUUUAAUUAUUGUAAAUUUAAUAAUAAUUUAAAUUUAAAUAAAAAAAAUGGUUUUUUAAGCCUUUUUUUUUUUAAAAAAAAAGGUAGCUUUUUGUUGGGUUUACAAAUUUUACUUUUUCCAACUUUUGCAUAACUAAUCCUCACAAUUGGAUAGUGUUGCAAUUUUUUUUUCAAUAUUAUUAAUUCUAAUCUUGCUCAAAGUAUUUUGCUUAUUUCUUAAAAUAAAUUUCCAUUGUUUAUAAUGGAAACUAAAAUAUGUAUUUUUUUUAGGGUUAAUGUCCUACAGCUCCGUAUAAACAAUAUCAAAUAACAAAUAUAUUCCUAUAAAGUUCAACUUUUCAUAUUAUUCCUGCGAAUUGCUCCUCUGGUAUGUUACCAUUGGAGCAUUGUUUAUUUUUCAACAGAAGAUAAGUGAAAUGAUAUUUUUAUCAUUAUAAAUAUGUCACUCCAAAAGCUCAAACUGUUAGAAUUAUAUAGAAAUAUCCUCCCAAAAUUUUUUGAUGAUCAUUUUCAUUUUUUCUGCCAUCACAUGUAAUAUAAGAGAGGUAAAAAAGUCAAUUUAUCUCAUUCACUAAUUAAAAAUAAGUAUUUCACUUAUGAUUAACUAUAUUUUUCUAACGGAUCCUAACAACAGGGUAUAUUCAAAAACGUUAAGAUUUUUGUAGUGAUAAAUAUGAUAAGUUGAACAUUAUAGUGAUAUAUUUAUUAUUCGAUAUGUUUACAGAAAAUUGUAUGCAAUUAAUUUUUUUUUAAGAUAAAAUGAUUGCUUCUGCUUAUAAGCAAAGCAAGUAUUGAAAAAAAAAAAAAACAAAAGCUAGUAAGAGAAAUGGAUUGAGACCAGCUAACUACUUAAGUUGAAUUUUUUUUUAUUAUUAAAAAGAGCCAUGAGAAAAAUAAUUGGAUUUUUUUAAAAAAAUAUAUUAUUUAUUUGCUGCCUAUUAUUUAAUUUUGUUGAGCUAAGUGCAUAGGUAACAUUUUAUCUUUUUUUUUAGUAUGACUAUAAUAAUAUUAUUAUGAUUACAUAUUACAUGGGGCCUAGUUUUAUAAAUAAUCUAUUUGAUUUUCUCAAAAAAAAAUAAUCGAAGGACUGUUUUUAUAAUUAUAACAUUUUCUCAGCCUAUUUGUGAAAAAAGUGGUCCGUCGUUAAUGUGCCUAAGGUCCAUAAAAGAUGGGCCUAAGGCCCAGUUUCUGGGCCUGUUUCAGAAUCUUCUAUAGUUGAGGGGGGUCUCCAUAACAUAUGGGUAGGGGUGUCAAUGAGCGGAACACGAGCGAUCUGAGGCCGGCUCGUGUUCUCCAUAAACGAGCCAAACACGAGUUGACUCGUUAAAAUAGCGAGCCGAAAAAUUCAGCUAGAGUUCAGCUCGUUUAACGAACCGAACACGAGCUGGUUUAUGCACAGCAAGUUAAAAGAAUUAUGAAGAAUACGUAUAGAAAAUAAAUUUAUGAGAUCUUAUCUAUUUGAUUUUAAUCUAAUAGUUAAAAUUUUACAUAUAAAUGAUAUUUUUAUAAUUGAGUUGGAUUUUAUAUUUAGGUUAAGCUAAAAUUCAAAUAAUACAAAUUUAUUAUAUAUAUAUAUAUAUAUAAAAAUAAAUAAUAUAUAUUCGAGUUGUUAUCAAGCUGAAUACGAGCGAGCUGAUCCGAGCUUAUGUUCGGCUUGUUUAUUUAAACGAGCAAUUCGAUCUCGAACUCAUUUCGACUCAUUUCGAGCCGAACACCCCUGUAGAUUGGGCCUGGGUUGAUAGUUGAGUUAACGGUGGGAUUUCAAAAUGGAAUAUCAUUGAGGGGUCUCUGUGCAGUUUUACCGAUUCGAUUCGCUCCGCGUCUCUCUCUCUUUAGAAACUUCCAAGGAGUUCCAGAGACGCGCGCAAAAGCUACUACACACACCGAAUCCCCCUCUCUCUCUCUCUCUCUCUCUCUCUCUUCCCCUCCAAUGGCGCAGGAGCCCUCCUCCGCUGCUCCCUCUCCCUCCCUCGACGACACCCUUCGUCUCCUCCGCGGCGACCGCGACGAGCAGAAGCUCGCCGGGCUCCUCCUCGCCUCCAAGCUCUGCGGCGCCGGCGGCGACGGCGCCGAUGCCGACGCCGUCAUCAAGGUCUACCGCGCCGUUGGCCCCCGCUUCCUCAGCCGCCUCCUCAUCACCGGUGACCCCUCUCUUUCUCUCUCUAGAAGUCUCUCUCCCCCUCUCUCUCUCUCUCUCUCUCUCUCUCUCUAUCGUGCGAUUUUGCUGAUAGGGGUUUGGGGGACGCAGGGAUGGGGAAGGGAGCGGGCGACGCGAAGGGCGCGGAGGAGCGGGAGGCGUACCUGAGGCUCGCUAUCUCGGUACUCGCGGCGUUCGCUAGGGUUCCGGAGAUCGCGUCGUCGGAGGGGAUGGUCUCGGAGGUCCCUCUUGUGGCGGAGAUCGUUUCCAAGGCGUAAGGCUCGUCAAAUCCUGUUCUUUUGUGGGUUCUCCUCCUCUUUAUUGGGGAAAGCUUGGAUUUUUGGACUAGUUAACUAUGAAUUGGAGUAGAUAAUUUGGUAAAGUUGUACUUGGACUUCUCAGGUAUUGGCCAUUUUGAAAUAAACCCCUUAGCUAGUUUCCUUUUGAUUGGAACCUUGUCAAAUUUUGAUUCUUUUGUCUAUACUUUUCAUCAAUUAAAUUAGAAGUUUGGUUAUUUUAAAUGUUUUCUAUGCCUUUUUGCAGCUAAUGGAACUAUAGAUUUUGUUAACUCAGUUAAUAGCUUUUGAAGUUGUUAAUGUUGAUAAAUCCUCAAAUCAAUCUAAAAGUAAAAAGUUCAAAGUUUGAGAGGGUGCCAAUUAAAAGAAAAUUAGUCGAGGGGCCUAUUUAUAGUUGAGGAGGUGCUUAUACAUUUCUACUGAACAACUUUUGCCCGCAGUGAUGAGCUUUAUUUAUCUAAACUUAUCUGGGAACAUAUGCAGGAUUGACCAAUCUAUUGUUGAGGAAUGCUAUGAAUUCUUGUUGUUGGUUGCUUUGGCUUCUGAAGAUGGAAGAGCUAAAUUUUAUGAGCCUGGAGUUCUGGACUUGCUAGCUUCUCAUAUCUUGAACCUACCGGACGGUAAUUGCUUUUUAUUUAGUUAUUUAUUUAUUUUAUCUUUGCUUGCAUUUAUUUGUGUAUUAUGAUUAUUAUCUUAGUUUGAAGGACGACAAACGAAUACUGAUAAGGUUAAGUAGUAAACUCAAAACUAAGUUCAGGACCUAUUUUAAAAACACUACGGUUUGGUAAUAAAUCAAACUUUUUGGAGUUCAGGUAUCUAUUUCAAAAUUUGCUAAAGUCAGGUAAGAUUUGUACGUUUUUUAACCAAUUUUGAAUCAACUUUGUUUGGUCAUAGUCAUGUCCUUUAUCAUGGUUUAAAAAUAUAACUCUUUUCAUGCAAAUUUUGUACAUGUUGUGUCAGUACAAUGUAUUAUAAAUGCAAAUAGUUACUAUUGCUUCUGAGAUCAGGUCACACUAUGCCGGGGAAAAUGAGAAUUAUUUCCUUGUUUUGUAUAUUAUAGCUGGGCUGUUUACUAUCCCAUUUUCCUUUGAUUCUUCAUUUCUACUCUCUUGUUAUAACCAGCAGAUGACCGUCUAUUGCAGGUUCCCGAUCUUUAGAACUUGCUGUUCGACUUUUGGAGCUGCUGGUGAACAAGCUUACGAUAGAUAUGAUGAAUGACGAAAACCUGCAAGGAAUAGCAUCCAUGGUAUAUAUGGGAAUAGUGAAGCACUUUUAUCGUGCUAGUUUAGGCUUAUAAUUUUUGGACCUUAUAAAUAACAGGACGAAGCUUAUUGUGAUUCAGGUGGCUUCCCUUGCUAGACUCUUUGCCGUCCUGCACAACGCCAUUAAAUUUGACGCACUGCACAUGCUUAGUGUUCUUCUAUCCCAAAAAGAUACUGUAAGCAUGACUUCUUGUUAUCCUGUUGGUGUGUUAAAAAUAUGGGUUAGUUACGAGUUCUUUGCAUCUGGUUCUGCUUUCAAUUAACAUCUUCAAAGUUCAGUCGUAAUAAUUUAGUUUGUGAGUAACAACUAAGUCCUCUAUUAACCCUCCGUUAAUCUACCAUCUAAAAGAAAUGCCAUGUCAACAUCUGAAAACUGAAAGCUAUUUAAGUUAUUUGUGUAUUUGCUUUGCAAUAGUGAUUUGGAUUGUACUUUCGAGUGUAAUGAUCGGAUAAAAACUAGUAACAAGGAAAUGUCCUAUGCACUUACGUAUGCUCGGUUAUAUUUUCAAAUCAUCAUUCAGAUUUCAGAGGGCUCUAAGAUCAUGUUUAGCGCUGUACAGUGCAAUGUAGAGUAUAUAUAGGAGACUAAACAGAUAAGAGGUUCAUAACAGGUUGAAAAAGUCUUAUUUUUGCUUUUUAGAAUGAGAUAUAUUCCAUUAUUAAUUAACUGUUAUUCUGCUAAUCUGCAUUAUGGCUGGGUGCUUUGUGUUGAUAAUGGUUUUUGUAAUUCUUUCCUAUUUUUCCCCAUUGAAAACAAGCAUUGGUGUUUUUGCAACUCUUGUCAAAACCAUUGUAUGUCGUCCUACCUUCAUUUAUUGUUUGUCCAGUACAGCUAUAUGAAAUAUCAUAUUUUGGUUAGCGGACAAGUUACUAUCUGAUAGCAUGGCCUAAAAUUCCUUUCUUUUAUGUAGCCACUCCAUGAUGCUCUUAGGUCAAUGCCAAGUCGAAUUUCGGCGGCUCAUAUACGUACCGGCAUUACAGCUAUUCUUCAGAAUCGUGUUGGUAUGCCUAUGUUCUUUAUUUUUAGUGUCAAAGCAUUUCUGUCAGUCAAAGAACAACCAUUGUUCUGAAAUUCAUGCCACUGCAGGCACAUGCUCAAUUGAAUAUUGCUUUUGCUGUUUGUUUUUUCUGAAAUAUUUUUUUCUAUUAUGUAAUAGAUACAUAUUGCUAUAGGUAGAAAGGAAAAUCACUUCUGCCUCAAGUUGUACCCUUAAAUUUUUUCUUGAGAGUUGAGGCCAUAAAAGAUGAUUUUUGCUGGCAAAAGAGGUAGAAACAACACAAAGAAGAAUAAGCUAAGAAAGAAACAAUGAAAAAAGAAUUUGUCCAAGAAACAGUAAUCUUUGUUACAAAAUUUGGAGUUUGAAAAUGGCAUGUACUGUCCUUUCCAAACGUGUCUAGUUUCCUCUGAAAAGCUUCAAGCUCUUCUCCUGGCUGAGUGCAUGAUGUCUAUACUUGGUGAAAAUUGGCUGCUGGAACAGACUAACAUACCCGAAGAGCAAAAGCCCAUGCCUGUUGAAAAGUAAGUAAAAUUUUUCUACAAUUCUUGAGAUUGUGUUAAAACUUAUUUAAACCUAUGUAUUUAAUUUGACUUUUUGUAGGUUUCUACUACUUGUGCUAGAGUCAGCAAGGAUUGAAGUUGCUGUUCUUCUCAACGAACUUGCUUACUCAAAGUAUGAAUUAUCCAAAAGUUCAUCUAAUGCUGAAGAAGCCAUCAAGCAGAAGCAGCGCAGUUUGGCUAUACCAUUUUCAUUAAUUGAGAAAAUAGUCAAAUUGAUCUCUAAUGUUAGUGGGGCAGAAGGUAAUUUAUAGCAUCUUCGACUAUGUUGCACCUUCUAUACCUAGCGUAUGUCGCUUCUACAUCUUGUUUAGCUAGAAAUUAUAUGCCUUUUCUUCAGUUAACAUCUUGCUCUGCACUUGGAAAAGCCCUUUCUUCUGUUAACAUCUUUGUUAGGGCAUUUUUUUAAACUGCUCUUUCCAUUUCUAUUUAGGUCUAUAUAUCAGUGAAAGUACUAUAACAAAAGCAAUUGCUGGAUUGAAUGAGACUAUCAAUGCUGUAUUAGAUUUUCUGCAAGAUUCGAAGGUAAAUAUCCUGACAAUUUUAGAUGUUAAAAACUCUAGUCUUAUAAAAGAAACUUACAGAUGUCAAGCUGUAGGAUCAUGGACAAAGGAAAGGUGAUGAUCUUUUAGCUGCAGUACGAAUAAUCGGAAGGUAUUACACACUUCUUUUGAUAUUCAUAACUUUCAUUGUUAAAAGAAUCCGAUUAUCUCUAGCUAUCAUCAGCUCCUUCGGUGAACACAUGAAGAAUGCGAUCAUUUCUAAACAUAGCGUCAAGUUCGUGAGGACUUUUUAUUGGCCGUCUAAACAUUUAAACUUCACGGCCUACGUGUCCAAUGAAUGAUUUCCGUCUAAAUUGUUAUCCAGUUUGAUGUGAAAUGAUUCUACCACUGAUUUUGUAAUUGGAUUAUAUUUACUUUGCUGCAGCCUAUGAAAAACUUGCAGUAUAUUCUAUUCAACUUUUGAUCAUAUUAUUCCAGUUAUCUUGCAGAAGCUCCCUAUGCCUGCAAUCAGAAGACUCGAGAUCUCUUGGAAUAUAUUCUCUCUGUUGAAGGUGAAGAUGAAUCAAGGUUGGUUAUUCUCUCAUUGAUUCUUUCUUGCAGUGAGUAUUGAUUAAUGUCGUCUAUUCAUUCUUUUUAGUCGAAAGGGCUUAUAGUUUGUUCGUAUUGCUUAAUGACAGCCCCUUCUAUUCUGUCUGCUUCAUGCUUCCAAUGUUGUGCCAAAUAACUAUGGAGGUCGAGGGAUGCAAAACCUUGGUUUCCUUUGGAGGACAUAGAUCUGUAAGUAUUUUUUAUAUUUUAUACCAUAUGCACCACUUAAAGUAUCUCUAUGCUUGCUUACAAUUGACAUCCACUAUCUUCUUCCCUGUGCUAAACUGAAAUCGGUGAUAAUGCUUGUUUUGGUUUUAAGCUUGCACCUAUUUCCUGUUGCUUACCUCAAGGAAUAUAUUUUGAUUUUAUUCCUUUGUAGUUUCCCAGAUUUAUGUGUUGCAUCAUUGUCCUUUAUGGGUAUCUCUUCGUGUGAGUACGAAAGACGUUUGUUUGUUAAAUAUGAAUAUUAAAUGCAGACAUAAUUUGUUUAGUCUCCAAUUUUUUAUGGGUCGCAUUCAUCACUAUUUCAUCUUGAUAUGCCCAUAUUUAAUGUCAUAUUACUCUUAAAUAUGCUAUAUUGUCAUACUGUAAUCUGGUCAAUUUAUUCUAUUGCAAUACAAUGGUUGAACAUAAUUUUGUUUAUUGAUCAAAGCCUUUUUCACGCUUGAAUCUAUCUUCAUCAAUAUGGUUUAUCCCUCCAUAUCUGUAAUCUGGCUCAUUUAUUUAUAAAUUGAAGCCUAUAUAAUGCAUUUUAAAUUUUGACAAUCGAAAGGGAAAGCAGAAAAGUGAACCUUUUUGCUUACAUAUUUACAGGUUGUGAACUGCCUUAUAAAAAUGAUUGAGCAAGAUGCAAUGAUGGUUGAGGAUAAUGGGACAAUAUUUUUGGCAUGCGACACCAUUUUGAACUUUCUGUCUAAUGUAAGUGAAACCAUUCGAGAAAGCUUUAACUUUUGGCAAGAACAAUAUUAUGAUGAUAAUUUUCCAGCCACUAUUCAUAUGCGUAAGUGACUUCUCAUUUUUACAGAGAACGGGCGUUCAAGUUCAAUUAGAACCUCACUUUGUCAAUCUUCUACGGACGCUAGCUUUGUGGGCUGGUAUGGUGUUUGCUUCACUACUCUCAUGUUGUGUUUCAUCCGUUAUUGUGUGAAAGAAAAUGCAAUAAUUCUAUGUUCGUCAAAUUCGAGCGUACAUUUUGAAACAAACCUUUCGAGGCUUAAUCUCUCUAUAUAAUAUGAAAUUAAACUGUUAUCAUAUUAUAUUUAGGGAUUUUAGGAUCAGCUGCGUAAUUCUGGGUACCAAGGUACAUAAGUCUAUGAAAGAUUAUUCUUGAGGUAUGAAAGGGUAGUUUAAGAUGAAUGUGUUGAUGACUUAUCCAUGAUAUUUAACCACCUUCCGUUCUGUGGAAAAACAUAAAGAUAAAGAUACCUCACUUGAUAAUGAGACGAAGGAAAAUUUAGCAAUUUAUGCUCAUUUAUUUAGUUAAAACUUAGAUUGAGAAACUUAAUUAUGAUUGCUGCCAAUGAUAUUGCUGAAAAAUAACCCUCAUAAUUUCCACUUUGGUUCUGAUUUUCAUAUGAUGGAAUGGCUCAUCUGCAUGAAAUUUUUUCUUUAAGAUUUUCUGCUAAUACUGCUAUAUUCAUCCUGAACAUGAUGGCCUUAGGUACUACUAAUGAUCCAUCGAUUAUCAUGAUGGCUUCGAGCAUAUGCACAUUGAUAUUUGACCUAACGUCGGAGGAAUCUCUCUUAAACCGUUCCGAUUUUGACCCCAGAACCCUCGAAAGUUUGUCGCAACUCAUCAUCAGAAGCUUGGAUCAGGUUAUCAAUUCCUUUCUAUUUUUUUUUCUCUGGUCAGUGUUCGAGGACCGGUCACCAACAAAUCAAACCCGACUUAAUUGCAGGACAUAAUCGAUGAAUCAAGGGAUCAUAGCGACUUACGACAAAUAAUUACUGCAGGUUCAGAAAUAAUUUUUUCCCCUGUUUAUAUAUAUAUAAGGAAUCAUUCUGUUAUUUGACGUAUUAUACCUUUUCAGGUUAUAGAAGGUGGGCUGAGCGGUUCCCGAGCGUCAGAAACGCCGUCGAACGUGCAGUAAACAUAUCAACUGCUGGUGCUAUUCCAUCAUGAAACACUGCCAAAUUGUGUUUUCUAUCAUCUGAGGCAGAAGAACAGUUUGCCGCACAAUUUUCAGCCCCAUGGAGCUUCCGGCAGUUGCAUAUCGAGUCGAUGUGCAUGUCAGAUAACCAGCUGAAUUACUACUACAUCUUUUGAUUUGUGAUCGACUGCUGCGAGCCGUAUUUUCAUGAUGCUUCUGCAAAUACCUUGAAGCCGUCGGUGUCAGUCACUUUAUACCACUAGCAAUUUAAGUUUGCUGUACUGUUUAUAUCCCUUGUAGGUUGAUAUGAUGUAACAAAAAUAUGGCAUACACUUGCAUAAACUCUUUGUUGGAAGUAUAAUUUAACAUUUAUGAGAUGUUCUACCUCGCAUGAAAUUCAGUAAUUUAGCAUCACAGGCAAAAUGAAAUUCUCAUUAAAGAUCAUACUUUGGUGGAGUAUCACCAACCUUUGUUUAUGUUGUUUUGCAGUAAUGGACUAGUAGAUUCUAGUGUAUCUUAAUUCAAUAUAUAAAUGGAGGGAUGAUUAUGCGAGGGCCGUUCGAUUGUGACCUGGUCAAAUCCAGCUCUCGAGUAGUGCAAAUGGAUCCGGGUUGAUGGGGUUCCCGCCCGAUUUGCCCUGAAUGGAGCAGUUGAUGGGGGUCAAAAUAAGGAAAAAGUUAAACAUCCUGAAUUCGCUCCGAUCCGCUAGGAAAAUAAAGUGAAUUCGUCCCGUUUGCAUUCCUAUGCUCGAAACAAAUCCUAAAUUUGUCCCGUUUGCAUUCCUAUGCUCCAAACAAAUCUAAUUUCGCCCCAACAUGCGAAACCGAGCACUAAAUAGAGGUAAAAAUAGAAAAAUAAAUAAAUCUAUCCCGAAUCGACCACUACUCCUGCCUCUAGAUCUGUCCCGUUAGCACCUAUUACAUAUAAAAAUAUAAAAACAACAUUCUUUAUCAAUUUAAGUUUCUAGAAAAUAAUGAUUAUUUCAUAUUAUUUAAUAUGAUAUCAGAGCAAACCCGAUUUCCUCCCAUAUAAACAAUUUCGAGUUCCAACAUAAGUAAAAAUAUUAUAUGCAAUCUAGUUACCUAAAUAAGCUCGGGAAAUUUUGCUUCUGAUUAGAACAUGCUCCCUAAUCUACAAACUUUUUGUUCUGAAGUAAGAAACAUGUUUCAGUACAGCCACGCCGAAUCCUGCGCAUAAGAAACAGAUCUUGCAGCCCCUCUUACACCUUCCUCAGAUAUCUGAGGGCAGUCUUCAACCACCAAAGACUCCAACUUCUUCGAGUCGACGGCCGCCUUCAGCCCGAGAUCGGUCACCCCCAAACACCUGCAGAGCCUGAGAUGAGCCAAGCGCGGGAAAUCCACGACACGCCGCAUCCCCACAUCGCUGACCUCCUGGCACUGCGCGAGCUCCAGCGUCUCCAAGAACGCCGCCGAAACAAGCGCUUCCAUUCCCGCGUCGUCGAAAAAGCACGCGUUGUUGAGCACCAGUACCCGAAUCGGACAGCUCUGAAUCAAAGUUGAAAUGCCCUUCAGAGUAAAGCAGCAGAAGUUCGGGAAAUCCCCGCCGACGAAGGAUAACUCGACCUCCUCGAGCAUCGAACAUUCGCUAGCGAACGCGAUGAGACUAUCGUCGGUUAGCAACCGUGUCGAAGCAUUGCUCACCGGACAUGGGGACAGAUAUUGUAGAGGGAGGCGAAGCGCGAUGCUUCUAAGGUUCUUCGAGCUCCGUGAUAGCGCGAUCAUAUCGCGGUCCCUAGUACCAAUGCAUGUCUCCAAGCGAAGCUUCUCCAACGCGCGGUCGCAGCUCCCUAGGAGGUGCGAAAGCACCCUUCCCGGCUCCACAACGCAGUUCGUCAACCUCAACUCCGUCAAAUUCUCGCAUUGAAUGCGACACUCGGGAAAGCCGUCACUCGCCGCGGAGAGGUCGUAAACCUUCGGACACCGAUAACACGAGUCCAUCUCGAACUCGAACCUCUCGAGCUCGUUCCACCCCGUGCCGAGCUUUAUAAGGUCGUCCUCGCCGACGGCCCGACAAUUCUUGAUUGCGAGUUCCUUCAACGACCCGAAUUUCCCGACAUACUCCAACCACCCGACGCCAUUCACCUUCAUGCACCGGACGAGGCGGAGCGCGGACAGACUCUUGCACCCCACGACGACCGAGAGAACCCCGUUAGAGCUAAUUGCGGGCGCGAAAUUCAGCUCGAGGGACGUUAGCUUCUUGCAAGAAGCCAAGUGCCCGAGGCCCGCGUCACUGACGAAGGAACAAAAGCUCAAGGUGAGAUCGGCGAGGGCCGGGCAAUGGCUCGACAGUGCAAGGAGCCCUCUGUUAUCGAUUUGCUUGCCCAAAUGCGACAUCCAACCGGAGUAGACGAUCUCGACUUUCGUCAAGUUCGGGAAUCGGAUGCACAACGAAGUCAAUGCGUCGGUAGCCGGGUGGAGGCCGCAGCCAACGCGAAUGAACUCUCUUUGUUCUGCGUCGAAUGCGUGGAGGCGUUUCGACGCGAGAGAGAGGGAGUUUCGAUCCGAAGUUCGGGUAAUCCUCUUGGUGAUGUCCAAGAGUAGUGGCUCAGGAAGAUCCUCCAUUGAGAAAAUUGUGACUCUAAACCCUGGUAGUAACAUGAAAAUUCGCGAGUAAACAUUACAAAUAUAAGCUUAGUCAACUUCACAAUAUUAUCAAUGAAAGCUAGCUAUCAAGGGUUGUUUGGUUACUCGAAAAAGCAUGAAAAACUGUUUUUCGAGGAAAAAAAAACACUAUUUUAGAAAAAUUACUUUUCCUAGGAACUGAACAGACGAAAAAUACUUUUCCAGAGGAAAAACUAUUUUCCGUAAUAUUUACUGGAAAACUAAACACCUCCUUACAAAAUAUGGAAAGAGAAAAGUAACAUUUUUUUUCUUUUUAUGGGAAAUGAUUUGGUUGUCACAAGUUAUGGGAAUCAACUACAAUCUUAAACAUAUAGAUUUGAGAAGGAUUAGUUAUUUCUAUGCAAUCAAGGCUCAAUAAUAAUAAUAAUAAUAAUAAUGUAAAAGGUAAUAAUUGGAAAAACAAAUUGAAGAACAACAAAGGAAAUGGUUAUAGAGUUUCCCCAAAUCUAAGCUUAGUUUUUAGAGGGGAAAAAAGAGAGAAUUUUUGUAGUUUUACAGCUAAAAAAAAAAAAGAGAAUCAGCUAAUCAUACUAAUAAUCUUUUUUUGUUAAAAAAAAUCACCCUUUUUAUUGAAGGAAAAAGAAACUCAGAUUCUAUCAUUACCAAAAAUAAAAAAAGUAGGAACUAAUUAGAAAACUGAAUCCAAAUAAAAGAAAAUCUGAGAAAACCCAGAUGAUAUUACCUUAUAAAAAAUCCCUCUUUGAAGCUGAAAAAGAUCUCCUUACUUCCUCCUCCACACUCCUCACUCUCAAAAGGAGAAUAAUUUGAGAUUGGUUUCAUGCAAAAUCUAUAAAAAGAUCAUUUUUUAAAAAAAAUCAUACUCUAAGAUAUAAUUAAGUUCAAAUUUUCUCAUAUUUUAGAUUAGGAAAAAGGGGAAAGAAGAGGAGCACAAGCAUUUCUCAUUUCUCUGUUCCAGAGAGUGAAAACUAGAAGCAUCUGAUAAGGGUAUUUUUGUAAUUUCAACCAAAAACUGUGCCCCUGAUUGAAUUUUUUUUUAAGCUUUGGAGAUAAUCUUUUUAUUUUCAAUUUUGACAAUUAAUUUCUUUAAAAUUUUAUUAAAUAAUUUAAUAAAUUAUUGCAUUUCUCUAUAAAUAUUUUGCACCUAAUCUUAUAAUAAAGUUUUGAAAUAUAUCGAAACAUAACUCUUCUAUUUCACUAUUUUAAAAUAAUACGAAUCAAAUAUAGAGAACACCUAACUUAGAGUUUAUUAUGAAAUAGCCUCCCUAAUUUUUUUAAUUGAGAACUUUUCAACAUCCAUUUUUUAAAAAUUAGAUAAUUGUCAAAAAAAUUGCAAAUUUUUAUCAACUUUAUCAGCAUUUAGGAAAUGAAAUGGACUAAUUAAUGAUUGACAAUUAAUAAUUAAUAGAAUUAUUAAAUAUGAUAAGUUUUUUUUAACUCAAUUAAGUAUGAAAAUUUAAAUUAAAAAACUCGUAGUUGAGAGAGUUUCAAUUAAAUAAUAAUAAUAAUAAUAAUAACAAAAAGGUUAUUUUAAAAUAAAAAAAUAUUAAUUGGAUAUUCCUUAUAAGAAUAUAUAUAUCUUACACUCAAAGAUUUAAGAAAAUUACAAAAAGCGGGAUAUAUAUCUUACAAUUCGCUAUUCGUCUAAGAAUCAUCAUUUUUCUUAUUUAUCACAUUUUUUUUAAAAAAAAUUUACUGUAAUCUAUUUACACUCUUUUUCUCGGGGUGUAAAUAGUAAAUUCCCAUACAAAUGAGGCGUUUGUGUGACAAUUUCGUAUAGUUGGGGGGUCUUCCUGUAAUUGUUCCAUCGUCGUCUUCGUCGAAUUUAAACCAAAGAGGAAAAGCAAGGUACCAUUUUUGUUCCCCGUCGCUCUCUCUCCGCGAAGAGAGAGAGAGAGAGAGAGAGAGAGAGAGAUGGGUUGCUGCGGCGGGAAUCGCUUCUCGUGGUCGCUCCUCCUCCUCAGCUUCGCCGUGGCCCUCGUCACCUACAACCUCCUCCUCGCCUCCUCCCACGCCCCUCUCGCCUCCGACCACCGCCUCCUCCUCCCCACCACCACCGCCGCCGCUUUCACCCAGCCCCGCCACCGCCCCUUCCUCUCCUCCGGCGACGGCGGCGGGGCGGAGGAGGGGCGGCCGAGGCGGCGGAGGGCGUUCCACACGGCGGUGACGGCGUCGGAUUCGGUGUACACCGCGUGGCAGUGUAGGGUUAUGUACUACUGGUUCAAGAAGGCGAAGGGGAGAGGCGGGGGCGAUGGGGAGAUGGGGGGGUUCACGCGGAUCCUGCACUCGGGAAGGCCCGAUGCAUUCAUGAAUGAGAUCCCCACCUUCGUCGCCGAUCCGCUACCGGAUGGGUUGGAUCAGGUAUUGUGGCUCUUCUAGUUUGGUUUUGUGUGUGGAUUUAGAGUUUUAGUUUUUUGUUCGUUAUUGCUGUUCAUAAUGGGAAUUUAGGAGCAAUUGGUGCUCAUUUGGGGUCGAAUUGGGUGAAUUAAGUAAAAAAAAAAGAUGCUUCUUUGUGAAACAGAUUCUCCCUUGGUGGAUUUAGGGUUUAGUGUUUCAGUGCCUGUAGCAUAUUGCUGUUGAUGAUGAGAAUUUGGGAGUAAUUGGUGCUCCUUUGUGUUCAAACUGGGUAAAUUAAGUGAAAAAGUUGACUUUGAGAUGCUUUAGGGUUUAAGGUUUUAUUACCUGAUAAUUAUUGCUGGGAAUAAUCGGAAUUUACGAGUAAUUGGUGCUACUUUGGAGACAAUCUGGAUAAAUUAAGUGAAAAGGAUGCUCCUUGGUGAGUUAUUUUGGUGUUUUUUUAGGUUAGAUCUUCUUCUGAAUGAAGCUUACUUAUGUGCUUAACUGAAAUUAUAUGCUUAGAUUCUUAUAAAUAAUGGUGAAAAUGAGCUGUGAUUCGUGCCAUUUUUUUCCCCCCCUUUCCAACUCUUUGCAUAUCUUGGUUAUUUUCUAAUUGUAGACUGGUAGAAAGUAAAAACAGUGAUCUUUCUCCCAAAGUUCCAUAGUUUUGUUGACAUUAGUUUUAAUUUCUAUGAUUUGGCAUGUGAAAAUGAUCUAGGGAUAGAAUUGGCCUAUUUUGCUAGUUCAAUGUGAAAAAUACUUUGAGAUGCAGCGAUAAUAAUGCCUAUUUAGUAUACGGUGCCUCACUAGCUAGUAUUUGGUCACUUGUGUAAGCAUUCCUUAAGUAUGAACUUGCCGUUCAAACCAGAUUUUAUAGUGUUAACUGGAUGCUGUCUUCAAUUUCAGGGUUACAUUGUCCUUAAUAGGCCUUGGGCAUUUGUUCAGUGGCUUCAGAAGGCAAAUAUACAAGAAGAGUAAGUUCCGCAUGUCGUAUUCUCCCGAUUUGAAUUAUUUGACCAAUUCGGAUCUCUUAAAAUAGUGGUUGAUUAUCCGCAGCUAUAUCUUAAUGGCAGAGCCUGACCAUAUAAUUGUCAAGCCUAUACCAAACUUAUCAAAAGAUGGUCUUGCAGCUGCUUUCCCAUUCUUUUAUAUUGAACCCAAAAAGUAUGAACCCGUUUUGCGUAAAUUCUUUCAUGAAGACAAGGGGCCAAUUACUAACAUCGAUCCUAUAGGAAAUUCUCCUGUCAUCAUUGACAAGGUACUUUUUUUAUACGUGCCUCGACUACUGAGGUUUUUUCUUUUUUUUUUUAAAAAAAAAUUCUAUAUUCACCUUUAUCUUAAUGCAAUAUCUGAAAAUGGUUUAGGAAUCUCUUAUGAAGAUUGCACCUACAUGGAUGAAUGUUUCUUUGGCAAUGAAAAAGGACCCUGCAACAGAUAAAGCAUUUGGCUGGGUGCUUGAGAUGUAAUUAUUUACAUUGUUUUAUGUUCUUUUGACUUCGUAUUAGUUUUGGUUUGUCGCUUAUGCAUCUGAUUUCAUUGAUCUUUUAAAUACAGGUAUGCAUAUGCUGUUGCAUCUGCUCUCCAUGGAGUUGGCAAUAUUUUACGCAAAGAUCUCAUGAUUCAGGUCUCAUAAAGUGACGUUUUCAUUGUGUUCUCACAAGUUCGAAGCUUUAUUUCUGGAUUACCUCAUUUAUAUUUUCCUUCCAUUUAAAGCCUCCUUGGGAUUUGGAAGUUGGGGAGAAAUUCAUUAUUCAUUAUACUUACGGAUGUGAUUAUGACAUGAAGGUAUUACACUUUUAUUGUCCUCUCCAAACUGUCAAAUUUCUUGUUUAUUUGAUAUUUCAUUUACACAUACAAGAGAAAAUUCACUGAUUUGAGAAGGUUUUAACUACAAGAGAAUUGCCUCUUUCGUAAUUAUAUCUAGUCUAUUCACAUUUAAUAGGGAAAGCUAACUUACGGGAAAAUUGGAGAAUGGAGAUUUGAUAAAAGAUCAUAUGAGGGCAAGCCACCUCCCCGUAACCUGCCGCUACCUCCGGAUGGUGUCCCUCAAAGUGUGGUAUAAUCUUACAACACUUGUACCAGGAUGUUUAAAUGUUUAGUUCUCUCUAUAUAUUUUUGGCUCUCUAGAUCAUUGAUUUUCGUAUAUCAAGGCAAUGUUUUCAUUGCUAUUCUUGCUCUUAGACAAUUAGCGUCUUUUAGAAGUUUUCUACUUUUGACUCUCAUUUUGGAUUUUCUUGUUUAAUUCUUUUCUUUCGUCUUUUUAGCGUAUUUCCAGCUAUAAAUCAUCAACGUAUCAGGUUCUAUCAUUUCUUUUUCCUCUUUUGAAAAUUGCAAGACCAUUAAAUAUUAAAGAACCUUUCUCUUCAGGUGACUCUCGUCAAGAUGGUCAACGAAGCGACGGCGAACAUUCCUAAUUGGGAUGCUUUCACGGGGUGAUUCCAAAUAUUACAGGAAUGUCUUAAUAGCUUCUGCUCUUGGGGAUAAGAAGCUCUGCAUAUAAUGAUAUCUCAAAGAAGGAUAAAACAUAUACAAAUCCUGCUGACACGGCGAACGUGGAAGUGGUAUGGAUGCGUCCCUAAUAUUCUCCCAGGAAAGGUCUGACGCUGGGCUAAUUAUUCUCGCCUUUUUUACUUGAAUUUUCCUUAUUGAAUCUUUGGUAUAGUAGAUUACGACAUCAGUAGCAACAUAAGCUUGCGAAGAUGGAAUAAACUGCAUUCUCGUUAACCAUCUUGGAACUCCUUUCUCAGGUUAUAAUAUAUACAGAGUAAAUGUGUGUUGCCUUUGUACUUGUUAGCCAUAAAGUUAGUCAUUUGAAGUGACAAAUAAAAGCAAUUUACGGGCUUAAUUUUCGCCGAAGCUGUUGUAGGCAUUAAACGAGAUUACCGUAUAUCUACAUACUAGUUGCUAUUAAGUUCUUCAGCGCCUUGUUUAUGUGUCAAAGGUUUCGUCCGCUUGACUUUCUCCGAAUCGUCUAGUCAAAAUCUUGCUUUUGGAUCUCUUAUUCUUUCGUAUUAGUAUCCCAAUGCUUAGUUGCAUGCCCAAAACUAAAAUAACCAUUUGUUAUUCUAAUUAUGCAAAUGACAAAGGUGAUUAUGAAAAGGAAGUGCUAUUACUGCUGUAACAAAAGUUUCACCAUGUCAUACUUUUUAGAAUCACUGUACAACCUUAUCAUUGAUGGUGUAUGUGUUCACUUCUUGGUGUUUAAGCCUAUUGAGCUCUACCUGGGCAACUAUACUGUAUACAAUACUUAAAAUCAACAGGAAAGGAGAGUGAUUCAUAGCUGUAGCUCAUCUUUCAACAUUUACAGAUGACUACCUAAGAAUCAAGAAGACACAGAAGUUUCAUCUCCUUGUGAUGAAAAGAUUUUAAGUGAUCAAAAGUCUGAAUCUUGUUAACGUUGUCCUCAAGCCAUGAUUCCUUUGUCAAUGUUUUUUUGGCAAACAAGUUUGUUUCAGGUACUCACUGUUGAUAUUUUUACCUUCUGUUUCAAAGACUGUCGAAAUCAGAUGCAUGCUAUCAGUGUCUCCUAUAUUUCUUGUCAGAACUCUUUUUGCUUCCGAUGUUGGGACUAUCGAAAAUGUAACGAUCAGGCCUACUAGCAAUAAUAAUAACUCAGUUGGAUUCAUACCAUCGGUUCAAAAUGUUUAAGUCUGGUCGUAACUAUUAGGGCGUUACAACCAACUAGGGAUGUCAGUGGGUUUGGGUACCCGAAAUAUUAGUCGAACCCGAACCCGAACGGGGUGGGUUUAUCCGAGCUAAACGGAUAUGGAUUCGGUUAUGGGUAUAGAAAAUAAAAACCCGACGGAUAUUGAUACGGGUAUGAAUUUUGUACUAUACCCAAUCCGAACCCAAAUCCGAACCCGAAUAAAUUAUAUAUAUACAUAAUUUAUUUUUAUUUAUUUAUAUAAUAUAUAAAAUAUUUAAUAAUUUUUAUCUCUCAGAUAUGGAUUUUUAAUACCCGCCGGGUUCGGGUCUGGAUUCGGGUUUCGGGUUUUUGGUCGGGUACGGAUAUGGGUAUGGAUUUUUAAAACCCGCCAGGUUCAUUUCUGGGUACGGAUUUUUAUUUGGUUUUCGGGUUCGGGUUUUUAAAACCCGACCCAAACAUGUUGUAAUGGGCCUCUAUAUUGAUGUUGGGCUAACAUAGCUCCUUUUUUAGGAUCUAACGGGCUGGGGCAAGAUGGGCCUUAGUUGGGCCUUUUAGCACCUUCGACUAAUGUCUUCUUUCAAGUUCAAAUUGGUGGAUUAUUAAUGUUUUUUUGAUUCACGCGUGACACAUCAACAUAUCAGUAAAUCAAAAUUAUUUUUAGGGAUCUUUGAUUGUACUGGUAGAGAUAUCUAUUCAAUAGUUAGUUUUUUCUUUUAAUACUAAAUUUUUUUAAAAUUAAACCCUAAAGAAAUAAAUUAUAAUUGUUGGAUAAAGAUAAAAGUUAUAGGGGACAAAAGAACGAGGCGCCGUUGGGGAGCUCCUAUAUUUUAAAAAUUGGUUUGAACAACCAGUUUGAAUUGAAUCAGGGGAUAGCAUAAACCAUUUGAUUAUAUGCUAAGUUAAUUUAAUAUUUGUACACAAUCCUAAUUAGGUUAUAUGCAUCUUAAUUAUAAAUCAACAUUAAAAAAAAAAAAGAAAAAGAAUUCUUGAGUCUUUGACAAUUCACAGUUGUAUUUUAUUACCCAUUUCAUAAAAAAAAUUGCGAAUAAUGAAGAAAGAGAUUUUAUUCAAAAAUUCUGCGCAUUUUUUUAACCAAAUAGUUAGGCAUACACGAAUUAUUUGCGAAUAAUAAAUCUAACCUAAAACUUCACGUUUUAUUUUAAAAUUUGUAAAUAAUUCGUGAAUAAUUUGCGAAUUAACUCACGAUAGUUUGGAUCACUACAUUCGAAUAAUAAAUUAAUUAAAUUUAAUAAAUUUGAUCUGGUUCUAUAAUAAAAUACAUAUAAUACCAACACACACGUCGAUUUGACUAAGAUUUUUUUAAAAAUAUAUAUAUAUAUAUAAAUCAACAAAUAAAGAAAAAAAGAAAAUUCUAGAAAUGUGGCUCGUACCAACCACUCCCCAACCUCUAAAAAAAAAAAAAUUCGGUAGAAUCAGCGUAGGGCUUAAGUUACACGCAUUGCAUAAUAAGUACAUUUAUUAUUCUACUAUUAAUAAUUAAAUAAAUUAAUUACAACCCACCAAAACAUUUGGAGUUAUUAUAGCCCUCAUUAAUGCCUAAUUUGAAAUAAUCUACGUAACCAUAGUUUAGUAAAAUAUUAAUUUUGAAACUUUAUUUUUCAACUUUGAACUUGGAUCGUCCUUCGCUGUUUGUUUCAACGUAAGUAGAACGACUUUUUAUGAAAAAAAAUGUAUUAGAAAAAGAUUAAAAUUUAUGAUUUAAGAUAAGUGGAACUUGUCUUAUUUUUUUAACUAUAAAGAAAAUUGAAGAAACACCAAAAAAAGAAAAGAAAAUAAAUUUAAAUUAGUAAUAAGAUUAAUAAUUCAUGAUUUUGUUUUUAUUAUUAUCCCUAAUUAAUGCUCUACUUAACUUAACUCCAAUUCCACGUGCCCAAAAAGAUGAAUUAAAGAGUAGUUAGUAUGUCCUAAAUCACAAAUAAAUGAAUAAAUAAAUAAGGUGAACGUGUUUCCACACGCAUAUUUUGUCACACCAAUCACAUUUAUAUUGCAUAUUUUUUUUUUAUUAGUGAAAAUGGAUUGAUGGAUGUAUGUUGAAAUUUUUACAUAUAAAGUUGAUGAUUAUUUUAGAUUUUCAUAUUAAUUAAAAUAAUAAUUAAACAUCUCGCUAUAUAUGUGGAUUUCCUUUUAUCAUCAUAUAAUUCAAAAUAUAAUAAUUUUUUUUCUCUCUAUAAUUUUUUUAUUUUUUAAGAAAGAUAUUAGGCUAUUGGCCUUGUUCAAAUUUUUCUUCUUUAAAAAAUAAAAUUACUUGAAAAUCUAAAAUAUUUAUAGGUUUCGGAUUUGAGACUUCGAAUAUUGAAUAUUAAUUAUUAAACCUUUUGCCACUUAUGUCAGGGAUGGUCAGUUUCUCUCUAUAAUUGUUGCAGUAGUUUUUGUAAAAAUUGAUCAUUAAAAGAUAAUAAAAGAGCAAAAAAAACUUGAAAUAAGAGAUUGUCGUUAUUAAAUCCAGUAACACUUUAAUAACAAUAAUAAGUUAUUGGAUCUAGACCACCUACCCAAAAUAUUUAUAUUUAAAUUAUUAAUAUUGGAACACUGAUCGCACGUAUGGCUUUUACACUAUUCCAUAUUAUCCAAUAUGAUAUUAUUUGGGUAGAGAAUUUGAUGCUUUCGACUUUUUGACCCUUGGAUCAAGAAUUAUACAGUUGGGAUGAAUGCGGUCAUCCCUAGGGUUGAGUGGUCCCCACAGAAUAAUAGUAUUAAUCCAAAGGUUAGAAAUGAUCAAAGGGGUUGAUCUAAGAGCCAAAAAGUCGGAAGCACCAGAUCCUCCAUAUUUCCGAUAGCACAGUAGCUGUACUCCAUAUAGAUAAUACUUUUGAGAAAAUUAGUUGUCAUUUUAUAAUUUUUUAUAGGUAAAAACGUAUAAACUAUAGACUAUUUUGAUUUUGCUACUUAACCACUCGAAAUUUUAAUUUUAGUCAGCUAAUGACACUUUAACUUUAAAAUUUGAACUAGACGUUUAUCUUUACAUGUUUAUUUAGUAUAAUUCAUGCAAUUCUCACAACUAUGAAUUCAUUAAGGUUAGUAAUCAACUUAAAUUUUGAAGUCAAAUUGCUGUUGUCUGACUGAAAUCAAACAAAUUAAAAGGUUGAGUAAUAAAAUUAAAAUUUUGAAAAGUUGGCUGGCUGAUUCAUAAUGGUUCAUACUUCAGAUAAGCUCGUACAUUUAUACUUAUUUUUUAUAAAAAAAUAGCAUAAGUAUUGGGUAAUGAGAAGGAAGAUUAAUAUCUAAGUUCAAAUUUAACAUAAAAUUUUCAAUCACAAGUUGACAGCUUGAAUUUAUGUGCAUGUAACAUCAUGACAAAGUGAAGGACAAAAUCAAAGGGAGGGAGAAGAGGAGAGGGUCAACAAAAAGGAGUCAAUUUUAAAGUGGGAAAGGCAUCUAAACUUGGUGGGAGAAGCACAAAACAAGUUGCAAUUAACACUCAAAGAGGGAGUAGAUAAUUUAUAAACCUUUUUGUUACUUUAAUCACUACAAACCAAAGUUGUUCAAACAAAGCAACUUUCAUAAAUGAAAUAAAAUAAAUUAAUAAAUAAAUAAUUAAUUAAAGCUAGACUACCUAGCUUCAAUGUUAAGGCACCUUGGUGUGAUGCCAUAGCCACCAUAACUUUUGGAUUCAAUUCUUAAAUUAUUCUUUUAAUAGAGAUAUUCUUUGUGGUAGAAAUGUAUAAAAUUUAUCUCAAUUUUUACUCAUUCUGAUUUGACUGUCUGACCUUCAAUAUUUUUGUUUAUCCGAUUUGAGCCAAUAGUAAAGCGUUGUUUAUCUUUACGAGUUCAGUUAAUAUAUUUUAUCCAAUUCACGCAACUAUAAAUUCAUUAAAUAAGCAAUUAGUUUGAAUUUUAUACUCGGAGAGUCAGCAUUUCAGGUAAGUUUUAUACUUUUUUUUAUUCACUUUGGUUAUUCUGCAAUACAGUUUCGUAUGAGUAUGGCGAUAGAGUUCUUUACAAUUUUUUUUUAUUACAUCUUUUACUUUUGAGACACAGAAGUUAGUCCAAUUUUUAUAGAAUAUUAUGAUUUCUGACCGACCGAGAUGGUGAUUCAGUGUCUACAAACAAAACCAAGUAUUGUAUUAUUAGUUGUUUAUUUAAUUAUUUUCUGACAAAAUUCAUACUAUCGACCAAUCACAAGCUAUGCACAUAACCACUAAAAGAAAGAACUCGACUGAUAUUUUUUAAAGUAGAAAAGUUAAUCCAAACGCCGGGAUAAAAAGAAACCCACUUUGGAGCCACUUUGGAGCUUCUAGCUCUUUAAUUAGGCUUUCUUUUUAGUGCUUUUCCCUUUAUGAUGCCAUUCUCACAAGAACUAUCCCAAGCAUACACACAAAAAGAUAUAUUUCCUCAAUUGCACUACAUUAUUUUACCAAAAUCCUAAUUAAUUAGUUUAGCCCAAGUUGGUUUUUAAUCCUUGUAUCCAAUGACAACACAAUAUAUAGUCACAAGCUUUUUUUUUUUUUUUUUUUUUUUUUGAGGAAGGUCACAUGCUUUUGUCCUAUUACAAAAAGCAUGUGUGAAAACAAGCAAAUGAGAAGCAAAAUAGCACAAGCACAAAGUGGCAUGGAGUAAGGACAAAUGUAUUACUAGGAAUUCCAUAACUUAUCCCCUCUCCACCACCAAUUAUUUAACAAAUAAUGUAAUGAAGGAAUAAUACUCAAAUGAUAUCUUAAAAGUAUAAUCAAUGAGUCAGUUUUAUAUACAUGAUAAUAUAGCGAAUGGAUCGGAUCUCUAGAUCUAUUUGGUUCUAUACUUCUGUUUAAAAUGUAAUACUUUUUUUUGAUGAAGUGCUCUUAGAAAAUUUUAUUAGGAGCAAUACUGUGAUAAGACAUUAUCAUUCCGGAUUGUGAAAAGAGCGUAUUGUUCGCGGCAAAAAAAGGACGAUAGAAAAAUAGCAUAUUUAUUUUCAUAUAUCAUAAUGAGUAGGGUAAAAUAUACUUUCUGUUGUCAUAUCAAAAAAUAAAGAAGAAUGAGCAAUACUUCAAUACUCCGUUGUAAUCUUAGUCGUUUAUUUUUAAUCAAUGAAGGGUUAAGAUUUAUGCAUAAAAAAAGAUGACCUGCUAUUGCACAAGAAGUGCCGGUCAUCAGGUAUGUGAUCUGAGAUUUUUUUGGAAAAAAAAGAGCUAAUAUUAAAAAAUUAAAUAACUAAUAUUGAAAAGUUUUGCAUACUAUUCUUAAAUCAUGGAGGGAAUAAAUUUUUAAUUAAAUUAUCCAUUUUUAAAGCUGAUUUUAAUAAUAAUUUAUGAUCGCAUUUGAGUCAUAAAUUUAGUAAUUUAUAAUUUAAAAUUAAUUUUCAAACAUUAAAACUUUAUGUUUAAAUAGUUAACAAAAUUUAUUUUUUAAGUAUAAUAUAAACUAAAUCUAAAUUUAUAAUUUAAAUUUGAUCAAUAUUUUUGAAAUUUAAUGUGUUUUUCAAUAUUGAAUUAACAAUUUCAACUUACUUUAAAAUGUAGAAAUCUUUUAUUUAAAUAAAUAAUAAAAGUUUAUAAAUACACUACAACUUAUAUUACAAUUUUAAAGAUAUUAAUAUUAAUUUUUGAACUUUCAUGUUAGUUUAAUAUUGAAUUGAUAAUUUGAAUUGAAAUGUUUACUCGUUUAAAUAUAAAUUUUUCUUCCUAAAAUUUAAAUUUAAUUUAUACAGUUAUAAAUAUAAAGUUUAAACUCAAGUUAAAUUUUAAAUUCAGAAUUUAUGAAGAUUUAUCACUUAUGAAAUUAGCCAUUAUCUAAGUCGGUAAGUAACAAAAGUAAAUUAGGAAAUGAAGAUUUGUUGGAUAUUAUCAAAUUUGGUAAUUAGCUAAUGCAUAGUUUCAAAUAUCAUCUUUAUGAUUGAUUGGUAACCUAUUGAGCAGGUUACCACUGUGUAAAAGUCAAUCUUAACCUCAAAAAUUUGAAUAGUCGGAUUUAAAUUGGUCGGUGUAUAGAAGUAUUUCUCAAGAAGAAUAUCUUUACAUGCUUAUACCUAACUUUUAUUUUUGCCCAAUAACAUUAGGCGUUCCCCAAUACUGAACCCUAAAUCUUUUUCCAAUAGAUUUUUUAGCAAUUAAAUUAUAAGUUCUAAAUUAGACUCAAUGUAUGUAGCGUAAAAUUACACUUCAGCUUCUCACUAUGACAGAAAAUUAGGCAUUUCAUAUUUACCAAACACACUAUUAUAAAUAAUUGUAGCUAAAAAGAGAAGAAAAAAUAAAGUCAAGCAGAUCCUCUCUUCAAAUUUAUCAUACCAAUCUUAGAAUUUGUGCUAGAUAUUUAUCGAAUCAGUAAUUACCUGCUGUCGUAAGUACAAAACUGAUUAAUUAUAUUAUAUUUUGAGAACCUUUUGACCUACCCAUAGCAUUAGUUAUUUUCAACAAAAUAGGAAUCCAAAUCACCACUAAGAGAUUAUGUUGCAAUUAUAUAUAUAUAUAUAUAUAUAUAUAUAUAUAGAAUGAGGCUACUAUGCUUCUGGAAGUACGGAGCCUUCCGUGCUUUCAGGGCGUUUUUGAUGUUGCGACUUUCGAAUCGUCGAUCGGCUCCGUUAAACUUGAUCUAGAGUAUUUGAAGUAGUUAGAAAAUAAAUUUUAUAAUUUUUCGAUAUCAUUUGCCUAGUGAACUAAGGGGCUCAAAAUCAACGGCUGAAAAUAAAAAUCUUACAAAACGUGAUAAUAUGAUAUUAAAAUUUUAGAUCAAAAAUAUUGAUCUUGUUUUAUAUAGUAUAAAGAAUUUUCUAUCAAAGUUUCAUGUGAUUUGGAUAUUUUAUAUCGUAAAUGCUAACGGCUCACCUGACGGCAUUUAAAAUUAUUUAAGUUUUGAUCUUCGGUACUAGCAAAUGUAUCGAAAGAAAAUUAUAAAAUUUAUUUCUAAGUUACUUGGAACAUACUCUAUCAAGUUUAACGAACGAUCGAUGAUCUCGGAAAGUCACCAAGUCGAAACACGGUCUAGACGAGGAGAUUCGUGCUUCCGAGAAAAUAUGUCUCAUCAAUUAGAUAGCUAGUACUAUAUAGUAUAUAUAUUUAUUAUUAUAUUAUUAUUUUCCUAUCUUUUUCUACCCCAUUCAUUGUUUGGUGGGUGGUCAUCGGAAACUUUUAAGCUUUGGUGUUGGUUGGGCCACCUCAGCAACUAGCUUUGGUUUUCUCUCUUUGUCCACAUUAAUUACUUAUAUAUUAUAGGGCAUUUCGAUGGAUUACCCUCUCAGAGUCUAAAAUAUCAUAGAUGCCCCCUAUAAAAUUUAAAAUUCACUCUAUACCGCCGUACAAUACAUGAAAUUUAUCACCAAAUAUCUCUUAGCGUUAGUUACGGUUGGUUUACCAUAUUAUUAAAGGUUAAAGAUGGGUUAAUUUUAAAAAUGACUUAAUUUAUCCCAAGAUUCUUAAGUAAAAAGAUGGAGAUCCCCUAAUGUAUGCGAUUUUGAAAACUGCUUCCUCAAAUUUAUUAUUUAGUUUGAUAUCCAUCCCAGUGUAUGAAAAAAUGAGAAUUUUAUUUUUGAUAAUUCACAAAUCUAGUGCUCUAUAUAUUUUAUGAAUAAUAAUUAUAUAUAAAAAAUUUAAAUUGAAAAAGUUAAAAAUUGAUCUUUCUUUAAUUUUGACAAGUAAAGUUUUUUUAAUUCAAAAUUAUUUGAUAAUUCUAUCUGCUUAAAUGCAUUAAAAAACUGAAAAUUAAUAUUUACUUCGAACCAAAAUUUGUUUUUGUUUCAAUCGAGAGAAUAUUCAUGUAGUAGUUAUGUGUUCUUUUGUUUAAAUAGAAAAAAAAAUAAGAAUCAUAAUUUAUGUUUAAAUUAUAUGUAUAAUUAGAAUAUAAAUGAUAAAGAUACAGCAAUUUUAUCUGAACUCGAUUUAAAAGAGUAAGCUGACAAUUAGGGAAUAGUUUAUUAUAAUAUAAGAAAAUAAAGUUCAUGAUGUAAAGUUCGAGUUGAUGAGUUUUGUUAUAUUUAAACUGAACUUGAACGAAAUCCCGAACUAAAAACAAAACAAAAAUAUGAUAAAACAUAGCCUAUAUACUAAAAUAUAAUUUUAUUAUAUUUUUUAAUAAUUGAAUAUAUAUAAUGACUUUAUUUAAUAUGUAUAUCAUUAAACUCAAAUUUUAGAUUUAAAAAUUAUCUUGAAUACCUAUUAGUAUUUUUAUUUAUUAAGUAAUUAAUAAGAAAUAAAGGGUAAAAAAUGGUAUUUUAAAACUUUUAAACUCCGUUCAAAUCGGCGAUAACGGAUCUGAAACAAUAGAGAGGCACAGUUAUUGAUGAUUUUUUAACUAUUGGAGGUAUUUGUGAUAUUAUCAAUUUUAGAAGGGUAUUGAUGAAAUUAAUAGUUUCUAGAAGGGCAUCUAUGAAAUUAUCCCUAUAUUAUAAUAAUAUAUACACAUAUAUAAUAUAAUUAAAAAAUAAAAAAUAAAAAACUCAUAUUAUACUCUUCCCAUGAUUCCAUGAAUAUAGUGAUCUUUUGAUAACUCAAAACUUAUGAAUUAAAAAAAGUAAAGUGGGGGAAAAAAUAUAACUGGGUAGCGAAAAAUAAAAAAUUAUUUGUAAAAGAAAAAUGAACGAUAAAUAAAAGUAUAGUCGCCCUACUUUUCUUUUUUCGUAUUUUACUAAAACAAAUAUCGAAAGCACCAACUUAUAUAUAUAUAGUAGGCUAAAUUAUAAAAAAUCCUCCCGUCAAAAUUCGAUUUUUUAUUUUUUUUCUCGUCAUUUAAAAAUCUAUACUUUUCCCCCUUAUAAAAUAAAAAAUAUUCACAAAGGAGUACGGUGUGAACUGUUAUGACAAAAUGACUAUUUUGCCCCUUACCAUUUUGCCCCUCAUCAUGUUCACAGAAGAAAAGACUGAAAGCAUUUUUGGCAUAAAAAAUAUAUAAUAAUAUUUUAUAAACGGAAUCCUAACAGUUACUAACGGCUGGGGGCGAAGUGAACAUUUUUUAUUCUACAAGGGAGCAAAGUGUAGGUUUUUUAAAUGACAGAGAGGAAAAGUGAAAAAUUAGGUUUUGACGUGAGGUUUUAUGUAAUUUAGCCUAUAUAAUAAUAAUAAUAUUUUGGGGUUUGUCAACUUAUUAGGAUAUAGAGGUGAACUAAUUAAUUAAGGAUUAAAAAGGUGGGGUGGAAAAUAAUUAAAUAAAAAAGGUCCUUUAUUUAUUUAAUGAAAGAAAAUAAAAGAUAAUAAAAAGGAUAUGUUCACCACACAUGUGAGUAUAAAUAUCUCAACUUUAUAUAUCCCCUUUCCUUUUCAUAAAAACACAUGGCUCUUGUGAGAAAAGAGUUCCUAAUUAUUCAUUAUCAUUUGUUUAUUAUUAUUAUCUUAUCUCAUUAAAUGAAACCUCUUUAUUAUUUUUGUUUUUUACUUCAUUAAUGAAGUUAGAGAUAAAUAUAUUAUUAAGGGGUUUGGUGAAUUUUAUUUUACUAAUAUGAUAAUAUUCUGUGAUUUAAUUACUCUGUGAUUUUAUUUUUAUUUUUAUUUGAAAUCAGAUGUUGCAAAUUAUUAUUUUUGUAAAAAAAAUUAUCAUUAUACUACCAAUAAAAUUCUAAAAUAAGAGACAAAUCGAAGUUUAUUCUAAAAAAAUAAUGCUAUAUUUAUUUAUUUAUACAGUUCAUAAUAUUUUAUUAAUAUAUUAAUAUAUAUUUACUAAAAUAGAAUAUGAUAAUCUUUUAUUACAGCUUAAAUAAGUGGAUAUAAAAUUUGAGAGAUUAUUUCACAAGAUUUUUUGUUUAAUUUAAACCAAAAAAAUAUUUUUAAAAAAAUUAAUUUGGAAAAAGAAAACGUUAUUUUCAAAGAUCUAGUAAGUUUCAAGAAGUGUCACUAUGUGACUUCCAACGGACCAGCUUUUGCCACGUGUCAUGGCUAAUGGCCCUCCCUUUCCAUGAUACAAAUAAAAAUCUAUCAUAAAGAGAUAUUUAUAAAUUAGUCCCACUAAAUUUUUAUAUUUGUAACUUAGUUUCUGAUU
rnacentral:lncRNA from 1 species